UCUCAAAAAUCAACUAUUAUUCAAAUACUCGGAUGGACUAUUAACUGACUUCAGAAUACAUUAUAUACAAUAGGAUUGCUCAACUAUCAUGUUUAAUCACAUCAUGAGCGAAAAGAAAUAGUAGCAGAGAGAUUAGAGAAGAAGAAGAAGCCAAUAAGCAAUAUGAGCUGAACUUCGUAUACUAUACUACAAACUACCAUAAUAACUACGUCUCAAUUCUAAAUUUAUUGGUACCGGCCGCUUAUAUGAAUUCUCACAGUUUCAUGAUAAUUAAAAAAAAAGGCUAAAAGGUUAGCCGGUCAAUAAGAUCUUUGAGAUUGAUGAGCCAACUAAAUUGGUUUGGCUAUUCUUUUCUAUUGAAAAGAAGUCACGUGUUUGCGCGAGUCGCCUUCUUCUAGGCUCCAUUGGACAACAACUUUUAUCCCAAGAAAACUCUCUGCAUCUUAAAAUCCAACAUAGGGAGUUGGAAGAAUGGAUUGUGUUGAAGGGGAUGACGGAGAAUUAGAAUUGUCUUUAGAAAUAACAAUACCAACUGUAUCUACAACCACAGCCACAAACUCUAUCGCCAUUUUCACCAUCUCUAUGCAUAUCUCUAACCUCUGAAUCACCAUUAUCAAGUCUCCGCGUAUUUUUCUUGGUAUAAUAAACAGGCUUUUCUCUUUAUAUAUAUAAGUACAAGAAACUCCUCCAAGUUUUUAGAAAACAAAGAAGCUUUUGUUAAUCUGGCCUUUGGAAAACCCCAAGGGACACAACAAGAAAAUUGGAAUAGUUUCAAACCUUGUGAAUGAGACACUUUGGCAACCUUAUCCAUUUAUUGCAUGGCCAUUAAAAUAAGAAAUUAAUUGACCAUUGUGGCCAUCGCAAGGACACGAGACAAGUGGCCUUUCUUUUAUUGCAUGUAGUAGCCAUACACGCAUCAACGUUUUGGGAUUUCUUAAUAUGUAACUUAAUAUGCCUUUGAUUUGUGAUUAAUUAGGAAUGGGUUCGUUCACUUUGUGGAAUAUUCCAUUAGUUUGAUUUUGCUUACAAGAAUAAUUCCCUACCUAAUCUUAAACUUUAAUCUGCUUGUUGCCAUUAAAUAGUGGGAAAAAUGAUACUGUAUAGUCGUUAUAGAAAUAAUAACCGAAAAUAUAUAUAUAUAUAUAUAUAUAUAUAUAUAUAUAGAUAUAUAUAUGCACUCUUUGUUAAUCUGGCCUUUGGAAAACCCCAAGGGACACAACAAGAAAAUUGGAAUAGUUUCAAACCUUGUGAAUGAGACACUUUGGCAACCUUAUCCAUUUAUUGCAUGGCCAUUAAAAUAAGAAAUUAAUUGACCAUUGUGGCCAUCGCAAGGACACGAGACAAGUGGCCUUUCUUUUAUUGCAUGUAGUAGCCAUACACGCAUCAACGUUUUGGGAUUUCUUAAUAUGUAACUUAAUAUGCCUUUGAUUUGUGAUUAAUUAGGAAUGGGUUCGUUCACUUUGUGGAAUAUUCCAUUAGUUUGAUUUUGCUUACAAGAAUAAUUCCCUACCUAAUCUUAAACUUUAAUCUGCUUGUUGCCAUUAAAUAGUGGGAAAAAUGAUACUGUAUAGUCGUUAUAGAAAUAAUAACCGAAAAUAUAUAUAUAUAUAUAUAUAUAUAUAUAUAUAUAUAUAUGCACUCUGUAUGUUAUAUAUAAAAAUUAUAUAAAUUUUAUACAUUUGUUUUACUAUUAAAUGUAAAUAGUUUAUGACACAUAGUAAAAGUAAUAUUCCUCAUUAGUAUUUAUUGAUUGAUGAACUUUCUAGGUAAAUAUGAAUUCUCAUAAGACAAAUGUUUGGAACAAAAAAGGUUCGCGUUAAGCAAUAUAGUAAUAAUGUAUUACUCUAUGGUCAUAGUAGUACUCCCUCUUAUCAUAUUAAUCUAUUCUCACCAUAUUUAUUUAAAUAAUUUCUACAUUUGAUGUUGAUUGUGUUUGGCAAACGCUUGAACGCAUGAUCUAUGUGUUUAUACUUUUCGUUGAACAAUUCCUGUUUUAAUUAAGUAAUCAGUCUGCAUGUAAUUUUUGACCCACAAAAAUUUUAAAGUUAGUUUUAGUAUUUUAAUAAUAUUUAUUUGGGUUAUUAGUUUUAGUAUUUUAAAAAUAUUUACUUGGGUUAUUGUACAAUAUUAGUCUCUUUUACUUUUAGUUUAAAAUCAAAAAUUUAAAAACACAAAAAUAUUUUUAAUUUGCCUUAUUUUAUAUAUGUUUGUUUUUGUUUUUAUUUAUAUUCAUCAGUAUAGUUAUACUAAUACUAUCAUAAGUCUUCCAUGAUUUUUAUAUUCCUAUUUUUAGUAUAAUUUUUAAAAAUAUAAAAAUAAUUUUAUUUUAAUUUGAUUUCAGUUAAAAUCAAUUGUUAAUUAUAUUUUAUUAUUUGUGUUACUUUUAUUUUUAUCUCUCGAAAAGAAAAAUGAAUCUUGGGUCAAUCUUGUAUCUUUAAAGGUCCAAUUUUAGGCUCAAAUUUCCCAGGCCCACAACCCGUCAGAUUUUUUGAACCUUAAAGAGCUAACCUUAGACUUCAUCUUCUUCCUCAACCAUAAGAGAACAAGACAAGGAGAUAUGGAGUUAACCCUAAUUACUUAGUCUUUUUCUUCACCUUGACAAAAACCCCAGGAACUGAACCUAGAAGAACAACCGCCGCCCCCAGCCUUAACUCGUCGGAAACCAGCCGCCGCCGCUUCUUCCUUCGUCUCCACCUUCAGCACAACAAAACCUAACCUCCAAAAACCCUAAUCCUCUAAGUAGCCGCCCACCAUAGCGAAACCCUAAGAGCCCAGCAGCCGUCUUUUUCUUCGGCCUCACUGGCGCAACAACUGAACCCUAUCCCCCUUAACCAAAACUGCCGGACCAUCUCAACUCACACCCGCCGCCCCAGCCUCUAACCAGCCAGACCUGUUUCCAGAACCAGCCGCCAGCCUUAACCCGCCGACCAACUGACCCCAACCAGUGACCCCUCACACCAAACAACACACCACCCGUCCUCCUCCACAUGCCACUGCUCCUCCCCUCACACUCUCCUCUCACCCAUCGAUAUCAACACACACACAGUAACAUACAGUAGAGAGUGACGAGAGGAAAAGUUUAGUUCAAAUUCAAUUUCGUCGUUGUCUGUCGCUUUUGGUCUUAGUUAUUUUAUCGAGCUGAACCGUUCUUCUUGAGGUUGUCGAUUAAGGUUUCCGGUGCGAGGAUUUAACAUUCAGUUGAGUUUGUUUUAAUCUUCUUUGUCGUGACUCGGGAAAUCUCGUUUAAUCAAUUUUCGCAUCAUUUUUGGGUUAUUUUAAGCAUGAUUUGUGGUUGUUCAUUAUUAUUGUUGCUAUUGCAAAGUUGUUGGAUUCCAUUUUCAAGUUUCUUAAGCUAUAUUUGGGCGAGUUAUGUUGGUUUCAAACUGUCGAGCGCUGCUAUCCCGUUUGGAAAUUGUUUAGUUGAGCCUUAUCAUUUUUUUGCUUAAGAGCUUUGCCAUCAAGCUCGUAUUGGAAUUUUAGUUGGAGUGUGCUUGGAUUUGUUGACUCGUGUUGGUUCCGGUUCGAGUUCAAGGAUUACGAUCAGCUUAGAUCAAAUUAACGCCGAAAAGGUUCUCGCGCUCGUUGAGGUUCAACUCUUCAGCCUUUACUCAUUUUAUCUAGCUGAAUGUUAAUUGCUUGUUUGGUGAUUUGAUUCUAGGAUUUGUUUAGCUAUUGUUUCCGAUUAUGAGUUUGUUCAUUUAGUUAUCUGUUCAUGUUUACUCGAAUUGGUUAUAAUUGAAUAUGAUUUUAUCACUUUAUAACUUGGGUUGUUGGAUAAAAAGUAAAAGAAAUUUAGGUUCAAAAUAGUAAUAUUACCCUUUUAUUCUUGUUUUAUUUAUUUUGAAGUCGUCAGGAGCAUUCUUAGGCCGUCAUCACUUGGGUAGGCAAGCCUUAGGAUUUUUGGUUGUUUCGCAGCGAGAGGUUGUUCCUUUAGUUAAUUUUAUCGGGGGAAUUCCCUGAAGGAUUUGUAUAUAUUUUUAUCGAGGGUAUGCCCCAAAGUACUUGUAUUUGGAGGCCUAAAGUGGAACUCAUGGUAUUUUUAUUUUAUUUUUAUUUUUAUUUUUCUUUCAUUAGACGGGAACGACCUCGAGCCUCCUUCGUGUUUGGUUUCCCCUUUUCAGUGUUUAUUACCUUAAUUAAAUAUUUUAGAGCCAACUAGAUCGAAUACGCAACCGGACUAGUUACGGGAUUUGGGAGUGCCACUAACCAACCGAGUCAGAUGAAUUCCCUUACCCGAAUCACAGGUGCAGACUUAGUUUUGGAGUCUCAAGUGGUUUUGAAAGGAAAAAAAUUAUUUUUUUAAAAAAAACGGUGAUCUGACACACCAAAAUCAAAUGUCAGGUGGCGACUAUGAGUUUAUUUCCUUUUGAACAUAAUUUUUGUCACUUUCAAAAUCGAAAAACUCUUUAAAUCUUUACUUAAUCUUUUUUAUUUAUUAAGAGGGUUAAGUGAAGCUGGUUAGAAAGAGGGUGUGACAUCUUUGGUGACUUUGCUGGGAAAUUACAGGUUCGAACUAGUACUUGAUCUUAUUGGAUUUUUAGGAUAUUCGGUUGAGGUUCGUAUGUGUUUAGUUUACUUAUUUGAAUUUAUUUUGUUUAUGUCAUUUAUUAUUUGCUAGUCGCUUAUUUAUUCACAGUUUCUCCUUAUGUUUUAUUGCUUUAUAAACUGUCAUCAUUUGUAUAACUAUGGGUCUUCUUUCUGCAACAAGUCUCGGAUUACACAUCACGUUCACGAACUCUUCGUUGAGUCACCCUUAAUUUAGGAGGGGGAUCCGUCGGACGUAUGGAGCGAGUGAAAAUCUUGAGCAGCCAUCAUCGACCAUACGCUCCCCCGAAUUUCCUUGUUAGUGAACCCCAAACUUAGGUUAGCCUUUAGGUCAUUUUUAUUUGCAUCAUGCCAUUUAUACCUAGUAGGGCUCGGUCUCAUGCACCGUGUCUCUUUCUAAGAAGCCUAUCCAAAUUUUAUCAAAAUGGGCCCGUGGCCCAAAAAGACAUUCAAUCAUCCCUAUGUGAUACGUGUUGCAUCUGUGAGGAUAGAAAAGGUCAUUUGAUGGACUGAUGCUUUGGAAAGAAGGGUGAAAAACGAAGCAAGUAGGGCCUAGUUAUAUUCUUUGUACUACUUUUUCAAAAAAAAAAAGACAAAAAAAAAUGAAAAAUCCAAAUAGAGAUUUUACCCUCUUCCAUUAUUUUCUAAAAAUCCAAAAAAAUAAAAAAAUAAAAUCUAAAAAGAUUUUACUCUUUGCCAUUAUAUUCCAAAAAUUCAAAAAAAAAGUGCAAAGAAACCAAAAUGAUUUUAUAUUUUUCAAAAAAUCAAAAAAAAAAAAACAAGGAGAAAAAGAAAAUUUUAAAAGAUUUUACGUUUUUCAUCAUUUUUCAAAAAGACAAAAAUAUAGUCUUUUUCAAAUUAGUUGCAUCUUCCCGAACUAUGUAAACCUGAUUCUCGUCUCUCGGGGCGAGAUAUGUAAGGAAAACCACAUAGGAUCCGAUCUUCCUAGUGAGUCUUAGGUUCUUGGCUUCGCAGGGUCUUAGGCAAAUCUUGCAUGCCUCUUUUGGCCAUUCUUGCGAAAUGAGGUUAUUUUUGCAAAAGUGGUUCAAUUACCCUUAUCUUAGGAUCUUAAUUCCAAAACUAGGUGUCAUAUUACUUUAAAGUCUGUCCUUUUUGAGUUUGCAUCUUUAGCCACUUCUGGCCAUAUCAGCCAUUUCGCGAAACUGAUCAUUUCUGCAAAUUAAGUUUUUGGGCCAUAAAUUGCGAGUUGAAUCCAUAUAGCGUUAGUAAGGUAUUUUCAUAUCUGAGUAGUCACCUUUGUUGAUUUUGCACUUAUAGCACUCUUGGCUACGUAGGUUAAUUUUUAAAAAUGGCCCAAUUGUGUCUCGCAUGUGUCCAACAAGAGGUGUUGUGGUGUCGCAUAGUGUCCCGAUUCACUAAUAUAUUUGGUCUUAUUUUUCUCAUUCAGGUAUGAAUUCCAUUUACCAUAACUCGAGUGUAACAGAUACCUCUGCUUAAGGAGCCUUUUUAUAUUUUGAGUCUGUUUUCAUGUUUUCUCUUACUUGUCUUGUGCAGUAGUAUUUAGUCAUGUAGUUGGUGUUAGAGUUGUCGUAGUAUAGUUUAGUUUGUUGGGUCUCUCAUUAUCGUACCUCUUUUUUUGCAUUUGAAAAUCUAACAAAAAUUAUUGAAUGAAAAUUCCCAAAAGAUUUUGUUUCUUAGUUUAUUUAUCCAUUAUUUUUUCAGAACUACUAUUGAUCUGAUUCAUGAGGGACAUGAUAAAUAAGCAACCUACAUAGGGUUCGACCGAAUUAUAUUUUUUUUUAAAAAGAUGAAAUUGGGGAUGUGAGAAGUGAGAGGAAAGAAAAGAGGGGGAAAUAAAUGAAAAGCCAAUGGUGUUAGAAAGGAAAAUGAAGAAGGAAAUAGGGCAAGAAGAGUGAAAUUGGGAUGAUGACAUAUGACCUUCGUACCCUCGAAGCCAUUUUAGAACUGUUAACUGUGACUAGGGGCAUCACACGCAAUGUGAUAUUUCUAUUUGAUAAAUGCUCUAACGCUAACACGUUGGCUUAGUUUGCUCCUCUUUGUUACUUUCAUUGUUAUUAUAACAGAGGGCGGUUAGUUUGUGGCACUUUGGUGAUUCAUCCAUACAACACCAAAAAGCAUAAGUUAGUCAUGGCUAGCAAUGAAACAGACAUUAAGAUUGUACACCCACCAAGGGAGAUUGUAGAAUCAGAAUUGAAACUGAAAGAGGAGGUCCGAAGGUUGAAAUAACAGAUGUCAGGAAUGUACCAGUCUUGGGUCGGGGACAUCCUCCACUUUCAUUCCCCACUAACUACACUGAAAACCCUACAACUAUCCCGCCACUAUCACAAGCUCAGGUUACCACUACCGAUGAACUUUCCCCUCAAAAUGCACCGGACUUUACCCCUUACCACAAUUACCUUGGAACUUCCCCCCAAACUUUCCAUGCUCCACCAUCCAAAACAACCGCAUUUCCAGCUCUAGAUACCUAAUAUUAUGCCCCGGAACCCACCUUCAAAGUCCCAGAUCCUUACUCCUACACUCCUCACUUUGAGUCUCAUGUUCAAAUGGAUAAAUCACCAAAGAACGCGGAGCAAGAGGAUAUAUUUAGGAAGGUAAAGAUCCUAGAACAAUCGUUGAGAAAUAUGCAAGGGUUAAGAAGCCAAGCGAGUGUGUCUUAUAAGGAUUUGAGUUUUUUCCCUGAUGUUCUACUACCUACCGGGUUCAAGAUGCCCAAGUUUGACUUGUAUGACGGACAUUGGGAUCCUGUAGCUCAUCUGAGAGGUUAUUGCAGUAAAAUAAGAGGCGUUGGGGGAAAAGACGAAUUAUUAAUAGCGUACUUCAACCAGAGUCUGAGUGGGGAAACUCUAGAAUGGUACACUAGCCAAGACACUGGCAGGUGGUACACGUGGGACGAUUUAGCUCAAGCCUUUGCUCGGCGUUUUUAGCACAUCAUAGACAUUGUCCCGAAUCGCCUAUCCCUGACCAAGGUUGAAAAGAAUCCCGCUGAAAGCUUUAAAGAAUAUGGGUUCCGAUAGAGGGAGCAAGUUGUACGGGUCAAUCCUCUAAUGGAAGAAGAUGAGAUGGUUGAAUACUUUCUUCAAGCCUUAGAGCCUACUUAUUUCAGACCUUUGAUCUCAUCCAUUGGUAAGACUUUCAAUGAUGUAAUAAAGAUGGGAGAAAUGGUGGAAGAGGGACUGAAGUCAAGCAAGAUCAUGAGCUAUUCUGCCUUAAAUGCCACAACACAGGCAAUUCAAAAUGACAUAGGAGGAUUUCCGGGUCAGAAGAAAAAGGAUGAUGCUGCCAUAGUUGUCUCUGGAUCACGACAUGGCCCCACGUGUACGCCUCACCAAUAUAUUCAGCCUCGACCCCAACCCUAAACCUAUCCUCGAGCUCCACAUAAUCCAUCUCAACAUUAUCCUCCGAACAACAUCUAGUCAUUUGUUCAACCACUGGGUUACGCCUUAUGGCGAGCACCAGCAUCGCAAAAUUCUCUUUCGCUUUCACAAAAUUUUUGAGCACCCAGAAACCCAAGGAAACAGGGGCAUAGAGGGCAACAAAGGCAAAGAAAUUGUUUCACUCUAAUCGGAGAAUCCUACACAAGUUUGUUUAAAAUUUGAAAGAAUCCGGCAUAGUUGAGCCGUUCAAAAUGACAUAGGAGGAUUUCCGGGUCAGAAGAAAAAGGAUGAUGCUGCGAUAGUUGUCUCUGGAUCACGACAUGGCCCCACGUGUACGCCUCACCAAUAUAUUCAGCCUCAACCCCAACCCUAAAGCUAUCCCCGAGCUCCACAUAAUCCAUCUCAACAUUAUCCUCCGAACAACAUCUAGUCAUUUGUUCAACCACUGGGUUACGCCUUAUGGCGAGCACCAGCAUCGCAAAAUUCUCUUUCGCUUUCACAAAAUUUUUGAGCACCCAGAAACCCAAGGAAACAGGGGCAUAGAGGGCAACAAAGGCAAAGAAAUUGUUUCACUCUAAUCGGAGAAUCCUACACAAGUUUGUUUAAAAUUUGAAAGAAUCCGGCAUAGUUGAGCCGCUCCUCGACUAUACUCCGGACUCAUAUACAAAAGGUUUUGAUACUGUACGAUGCAUGUCCCACUCCAAUUUCCAAGGGCAUAACAUUGAAGAUUGUCGUGCUUUGAAAAGGGAGAGAGAAAAAAUAAUUCAACAAGGGAUAAUUGUGGUCCAGGACUGUUACACCCAGAACAUUCCACAGAAUCCUUUACCUGCACAUGAUGAUGUGUACUUUAUGGGAAAGAAGCAUGGUAAUAGGGAGUAUGAGAAUCUUUUUGGGAACUUACUGGCGGAAGUUAAUAAUAUUGAAAUUGGUAAAGGUCCCAGUAAUUUUGAUGUGCAGUCUAGUGGCUAACGAGCUUGUAAUUGAAAAAGGAUUUUUGGUAGUUUAUUUUGUUGUCAUUUCUGUUUGUCCGGUUUUUCAGGGUUGUAAUUAAGAUAUUAUCUUGUGGCUCAAGCUUUUCUUCUUCUCAUUUUGUCUAGUUCGUUUAGUUGUAGUAACUCAUAUAGUAUUAUUUAGGAGUGUUCUAGGGUUGUAACCCAUGUCUAUUUUGCUCGUCUUGUUCAAACCAUUUUCAUUAUCUAUCUAAUGCAAUCUCCUACUUUCUGUUAGUUCUAGUCAAUUUUGUUUAGGUCAUUUUUUACUUUUAUAAUUUUUUUCAUGCCGACUCUGGCGACAUGACAUGCACACGUAAUUCUCAGCAUGAUCUUGAAAUUUAUUCUAAUAAUGAAGAAAUGGCACAGUUUUGAAUAUGAUAAAAAGAGGAAUUUGAAGAAAUAAGUAAAGAUUCAUGCAUUCCGAGAUAACCUGAAGCUUGAAUUGAGUGAAACUGAGGCAGUUAGUUUGGAAAAUUAAGAUGUUGAUAAGAGCAUACAAUAUAAAAAUGUCUCUCAAGCAGUUUGAAGUAGAUAAGUCAGUGUUGAAAUGCAUUCUUCCACAUCAAGAUAAGGUUGAGUUAAAUCUUCUUCGAACUGGGCAGGAUCAUUCAUUGGGACAAAGGUAUUGCCCAUCGGCUCUUUUUUUUUUGUUGAUGUCAUCAAUAGAUACUAUGUAUGAUUUCUUUACUUAUAUUCAAUUGCGUGUUUGUACUCGGCAUUUUUAGAGCUUGGUAUGACGAAGACAUUUUAUUAUGCUACCUAAACAUUUUUGUCUUUUGCUACCCCUUUGAGCCUUAACUUGUUUUCUUUCAUACACCUCUUUUGGAAUCAGAAAUAGAGCUAGGAACUAGAAAAGAAAAAGAAAAGAGAAAAAGGAAAAAAAAGAAACGAAAAAGAGAAAAAGUAAAAAAAAAGGAAAAGAGAAAAAGAAGGAAAAAAGAAAAAAAUGAAAGAAAAAAGAGGAAAAAGAAAGAAAAGGAAAAGAACAAAAAAACCAACUUUGUGUUUAAACUACGUUUCACUAGAUUUUUGUCACCUAAAGAUACGUAGGCAGCCUUAUGGUUUAGCCACACCAAAUAAAAUAUUUCAUAAUCCCCCGAAGUCGAGAGUGGGGCAAAUUUUCUUAGAAAUCCCAAAAACAAUUAGCAGACUCCAGAAAUAAGGGAAGAAGUUUUAAUUUUGCCAAAAGAUUUAAUUCCAAAAGUUGUAAUUUUGAACCCUUUCAUCUUAAAUUAUUUUGAGCCUUCAUGCCAUCCUUUCUUUCCAACUCUGUCCAAAAGCCUACAUUGCGGUCCAAAAAAAGGCAUUUCGAUCAAUCUUUGAGGAUGUCAAAUCAAGUGCGUGAUAAAAGUAUGAUCUUCCUACAUCAUGGGUAAUGCCUUGUUCUCAUCGCAAAGAGAGAAAAUGAUAAAUGAGAGAGUCUUAUCGGCGAAAACCCUCAUGGCACCAUAAGGCGAAGGUAAUUGAGAAAAAGAGAAAAAUGAGAGAAGCUUGAUGGUGAAAACCCUUCAGGGCACUACAAGUCAACUGAGGAUUGUGGAUCAAAUGAGACAAUUGGAGUGCUGAAAGCCAGUUUCACAGCUUAGAGGCAUAAAAAGAGUUGAACAUUAGACUUCCUUAAUAGAUUAGGCCACUUUAAUCCAAAAUGCAUGUCACAGUUAUUAGAGUUGGUAUCUACAUCUGACAAGUUUCUACUCGGUGAUUUUUUUGUUAGAUGUCAUCGCUUUAUGUUGUCCCAUUAACUCUGUUAUUCUUGCUUUAUUUAAGUCGUCUAGAGUCUGUUUUAUCUGAACAAGUAAAGAAAUGACUUCAAAAUACUUUCAGCUUUUCAAUUGCACAAAAUGGAGUCUGGCUAGCACAUCAAAGUGGCAUAAGUAAGGAAAGAAAAAUAUGAGCAUUAAAUUUCGGUAGUAUUGAAAUAAUGCUCGAGCAGAUGAUUAAGAAGAACCAAGGUUUCGAUGCUCAGUUGGGUUCUCACAAUACCUCUAUCUGGAUGUUGGAAGUGCAAUUAGGCCAAAUCUCGUAAGCUUUGAACACUCGCCCCAAGGGUGCUCUACCAAGAGAUACAGUAGUAAACCCAAAAGGUGGUAACAACAACCAUGUGAUGGCAAUUACAAUAAGAAGUGGGAUAGGUGGUGAUGUAAAUGCCUCAAAGCAAAAGAAAAUUGUGGAUGAAAAUGUUGAGUUGCAAGAUGAUGAAGUGUCUUUGGUUGUUGAAGAGGUGGUUGAACAGAAUAUGAACAAUGAUGUGAGGAUUGACAGUGAGGAGGCCGAAGUGGAAACUCAAGAUGUCGUGAACCCAUCUAGGGAACACGUGAUUAACAUGCUCGAGCCGGUUGUGCCAAAAGCCAAGGAACCCUUGAUUAGACCACGUCCACCUUAUUCUCAAAGGCUCGCAAAGAAAAUCAAUGAUAAUCAAUUCAAGAAGUUCAUUGAUAUGAUGAAGAGCUUGUCCAUAAAUGUGCCGUUGGUGGAAGCUCUUGAACAAAUGCCGGAAUAUGCAAACUUUAUGAAGGAUUUAGUGACAAAGAAGAGGUCUAUGGAUUGUAAAACAAUAAAUAUGACUCGCGAAGUGAGUGCUAUAGUGCAUUCAAUGGCACUGAAGCUUGAAAACCCCAGAGCUUUUACUAUCCUUUGCACUAUUGGGAGUGCGGACUUUGUCAAAGCUUUAUGUGACUUGAGAGCUAGUAUCAAUUUGAUGCCUUACUUAGUUUUCACGACUUUGAGUAUCAGGCAACCAGACCAUCUGCAAUGAGACUUUAAAUGGCGGGUCUAUCAAUGAAGGGACCUUUGGGAAUUAUUGAUGAUGUGCUUGUCCGGAAGGACAAAUUCAUAUUAUCAGCCGACUUUAUUGUUUUGGAUUGUGAAGUGGACUAUGAGGUGCCUAUUAUCUUGGGUAGACUUGUCCUUGCAACGGGAAGGAAUUGGUUGAUGUUGAAGAGAGUGAUCUCACUUUACAAGUGGGUGAUGAAAAGGUCGUCUUCCAUGUUUUCAAAUCCAUGAAGCAACCCAAUAGCACCGAGGUGUGCUCAUUUGUAGACCAUGUCACAACUGUGAUUGUGGAUGAUACUAUUCUAUUUUCAACGUGGAGGAUCAUCUUGAGGCUGUGCUACUAAAUAUGGAUGUUAAUGAUGAUUCAAGCAGAGGGGAGUGCGUGAAUGCCUUACAUGGGAUGGGCUCUUAUUCUUAUGAGCCAAGAAAAUUAUCUUUGGAUCUUGAAAGCCGAAAACUCCACCAACAAAGCCAUCAACUGAGGAGCCACCGGUGUUGGAGUUGAAACCACUUCCUCCACACUUCAAGUAUGAACUCUUGGGCUCAGACUCUACUUUACCAGUUAUUCUUUCAUCUUGCCUUACUAACAUGUAGGUUGAGGCCACUUUGGCAGUGCAUUCAAAGCAGAAAAGGGAAACUGGAUGGACUCUAGCUGACAUUCGUGGAAUAAGCCCCGUAUUUUGCAUGCACAAAACUAUCUUGAAGGAUGAUGCAAAGCCUUCCUUGGAGCAUCAAAGAAUAUUGAACGAGGCUAUGCAAGAUGUGGUGAAGAAAGAGGUGAUCAAAUGGUUGGAUGUCAGGGUUAUGUACCCCUUUUUUAAUAGCUCGUGGACUUCUCCAGUGUAAUGUGUACCAUAGAAGGGUGGUAUGACUGGGUGACCUAUAACAACAAUGAUCUUUAUUCCUACUCGGACAGUCACCAGAUGGAGAAUAUGCAUGGAUUACAGGAAGAUAAACAAGGUGACCCAAAAGGACUAUUCCCCAUUGCCAUUCCUUGACCAAAUGCUAGAUCGUCUUGCGGGGCGUGCUUUUUAUUAAUUUUGGAUGGAUAUUCAGGGUGUGAGCACGUUAUUUUAGCCUCGCUCGAAAUAUUCCUAUAGAAUUCUUAAAAUUAGGAUUUUUCUGUUGUUGUUUGAGUUUUCAGGAAUUAAUUGCAUGAUUUUACGUUUAUUUGCAUUUUUUUGCAUUUUAAAUUGAUAUAAUUCAUAAAAAUACAAAAACAUCAUGUUUGCAUUUAGGACUUAAUUGUUACAUUUUUUAGGUUUAUUAGGUAAUUAAUGUUUAAAAAAUUAAAAAAUAAUAACAAAAAGGGUCACUUUUACAUUUGUUUAGUUUUCUUUUCCAAUUUGGGAUUAGGUUAUUUUUAGAAGUUAAUUAGUUUUCGUGUAAAAUUUAAAUUGGUUUUUGCCUUUUAUUUUUUACUUUACUUGAUAAAAUCUGGAAAAAUAAAAAUAAAAAGAGAAUUUAUUAAAAACCAAAAAAAGGAGUUAAGUAAAAAGAAAAAAAGAAUAAAACAAAUAAUUUCUUUUAGUCUUAUUAGGAGACCUGAAUCGGGACACUAUACACCUAUCUAUCUAGUCCAAACCCCUCUAACCCACCCCAAACCCGAUCCAAAAUGGUGAUGCUUGAAACAACGUCAUUUCUACACGAUCAAUCAGGGCCAUUGAUGACCUUUGAUCAAUGGAUAUGAACUGCCUAGGUUUUAAAUAUAUAAGUGUCGGAAUCCCCCACCCCACUCCUCCAAACCCUCUCUCAAACACCCUUGAAUACACCGAUGUAUCACCGCCGUAUAACCUCCGUCCUGCACCGUCUGCCGGUGGUCGGUCUCCAAUGAGCCCCAAAUUAAUACCCUUUACUCCUCUUCUCCUCCUCUUUCCAGCCCCUAAACCACAACCCUCGAAUAUUAACCGAUUGUCUUGAAUAUUAGUUCAAAGAUUCGAAUAGUCCGCCAUCCACGGUGGCGAUGGCUCAAAUGGCCACCAAUAAUACACCAAAUGUUCUCUUUUCCAUCCUCUACCCAGAUUUGAAUCCUUCCUUCCUCGAAUCUCCUUUGAACUUGUCGUAUAAGUUAAAAUAUAGUUGUCGCUUCCACCGCCCACGACGGAGUUACCUCCAAACCCUCCCAGAUUUACACCCCUAAACCUCCUAGGCCUCCUCUUCCCAUUUCUGUGACUCCCUUGGCUUGAAUACAACCCAAUCAUCUCGAAUCUUCAUUCAAACGACGGCUGCUCCACCGUACAUGGAGACGUCGGUGCCCAAACUACCUCAAAUAAACACCCAACAACCCUUGACUUUACCUCAUCCUAUAUCCACGUCCUAUUCCCUUUAAAUAGCCCUAGGAUUGGCCGAACAUCAUACUAAAAAGUUGACCCAAUCGAUGCAUGGUAGAUUCAAUACAUUUUCUAAUUGAAAAAAAGCUAAGUGUUUCGUUUCCUGUACUUUUGACUACUUGUUCAUUUUAUUUGCUUCAAAUUGAUUCUAGCUUAGGUAUUUCAUCUCUUCAUCAUAUGCUCCUUCUUUCCUGCCUCUCUCCUUUGUUUCUUUGGUCCAACUGUGAAAUUGAUAGUUGUGUUGCGAGAUUAAAUAAAACCAAUAGGCUUCUUCUUGUGCUUUCAAUCUUAUUUUGUUCUUGUCUGUUUCCUGUGAUUGUUUUUAGUUUAAUUUGCUCUGAUUUGGUUGAUCCUGCUUACUUCGAUUGUUCGUUUAAUUUUGGCAUUUAUUUCAUCGAUUUUGAUUUCCCAGUAGUUUCUUGUUUUGUUACUAGUUUGGCUCUUAUUAGUUCUUUUAUGUGUUUUUUAUAUAAUUUAGUUCUGAUUUGGUUGAUCCUGCUCAUUCUGAUUGUUAGCUUAAUUUUGGCAUUUGUUGCAUUGAUUUUAACCUCCUAGUAGUCUCUUAUUCUGUUACUAGUUUGGCUCCUAUUAGUUCUUUUAAUAAUAGCUGAAUAAGGAUUUGUGGAGUUUGGAUAUAAUCAAUUUAAUUAAGGUAAAGGGGGUCAGCUGAUAUAGUUUGAGUAAUUUCAGGGUAGUUCAGGGGUAGUACAGGUAUUGUGAGUUAGGGAAUCUGGCAUUCAACUGACUUUGUAAACCUCUAAGACAUUCGAGGAGGGGUUCCAAUCGUAUUUUUGAGAUAACAAUGUUAUAACUUGGCCAGCAAGAAAAUCUAGGACUAAGUGAAUAAAAUUUAAAAAUAAAAGGGGACUAAUGGGUAAACACAAAAUAAGAGGGUUUCCCUAAGCUUUGAUUAUAAAAUAGCACCCUAAUGCCUUCAUUGACAAGUUCCUGGCAGAUUGAAAUCCCUGAAAAACUUCCCAGGACUUCUGAACUCUGAAAAUCAUAAAACAAUUCCUUAAAAUUUCCAGGAAAUCCUGAAAGAUACCUAGGGUCUAAAUUUCACAUAAUGUUAUUUCAUUAGAGUGUCUUCUUCAUAAUUAGUUCCAAUUCCCAUCAAUCAAUUUGAAUUGCUAACUUGAAUAAGCUAGAAAUGUCCUGAAAUAUAUGUGUUUGAGGUGCUAAGAUUUCAUAAGCUUAGGUGGAUCCAAUUCUGAGUAUAUUUGGAUUACGUUUGAGGAUUUUGGGUUGGCUCCCUGGUGGUAUUUGCAUUAGAUCAUUGUUCUAGAUUAUUUGACAACUUCUCCUAUCCAACUUUGGGUUCCGAAUGUUGGUUCACUGUUGUAUAUGUGAUUGGUUUGCUAUUGUUAUUGCCUCUGAUUUGCCUACUCAUAAGUGUCAUUUUUCGCUUCAUUCCAGGUACUUGUUCUGAGCUCUUUCACUAUAUAUCUCAAAUGAAGGUUGAGUGACAAUGAUGCCCUGUUUUGUUAUAGGUUUAGGUUUUGCUUUGUAGUAACUUAUUGUAAAUAACAUGGACUGUACUGGACUUUUAAAACUGUAAUAGAUUGGUAUUUUUUUUAGAGGUUUUGUUUAACCUAUUUCCUUCAUGCUAGUUUGAAUGUUCCAAGUAGGUCAAGGGCUCAUGAAUCCUUGUAGCUAAUGUGGAGUAUAGUGUUUCACUACAAAUGACUUGAUUCAAUUUGUAUGUUGAAUCAUAUAUUUAAUAGUGGUAGUUUAAAUUGGAAGUUGGAUUAAUAAGACCUCACCUUUGACUUAAUCAAUCAUUAAGGUUAAUGGUAGUGCACUUGUGAGGUCUAUUGGCAAAACGUUUAGUCCUGCUUAUGUGUAAUGGAUUAAAUUGAUAUUUGUCUUACUUCAGUAGCAUGAAAUCUGGAGUCAAGUUUUUAUGUAAGUUCAUAUAUAUGCUCUGCCCAAGUUCGAAAACAUUUUAGUUAUUAAUUUCGUUUGAAAAUCAAAAGUCAUUGCUCUAAGCUUCAUGUUUUAAUGUAAAUACUAGUUAUUCGUAUUAAUUCUUCGAAUUUUAUAAGUAUUAGAUGAAGUCGAGUAAUCAGUAUCCAGUUUUGAUUAAACAAACGUGCAUUUUACUUAUCAAAGUUUUGGAAAUAAAUUUAUGCAAGCUUAUAAUCUAAUUAAGGGCCCAUUUGGAUUGGAUCCAUUAAAGGAUCUGGGGUAUAUAGCCCAUCGUCGAGUAAGCUAGUCUUAACAUCUAGCCCAGGGCUGAUUCUAAUCUACUGCUCAUUUGGGCCUGGGCAACCCUGGCCAAUUUUGCAAAGCUAGACAGGGGUUCCAGGUCUCCGGGCUUAUAUUGAAGCGGAAUGAUGUUUAAUAGAAAAUAUAGUCGCUUUUAGGAUAUCCUGGCCCUCUUUAAAUGUGUAUUAAAUAUCUAGACUACGGGACGUGCCAUUUAGCAAAUUCCAUAGCCUCCCGCAAAGUUAAUAAUACGCUUCUUGCUUUAGGCGCGUUAGUUUAAUAAUAUUACCUUCCUAAAUUCGAGUGCACAUUUAUGUGACCCAAAUACAAAUCCCAACGAAUUUGAAAUGUGUCAAAAAUCACGGUUGCAUUUAUGUGACGUAAUUCGAGACAUGUUUUAUCGCGUUGCAAUUUUCUUUAAAAAUAAAAGUGGCUAAAAGAUUCAAAAUGCACAUAGGUGCAUAAUUGUAUAAAAUCAGAUAAUUUAAGCCAAAUAUAACAUUUGAGAGACCGUUCUAGAACCACGGAACUCAAGAAUGCCUAACACCUUCUCUCGGGUUAACAAAAUUCCUUACUCGGAUUUCUAGUUUGCGGAUUGUUAAACAAAGUCAUUCUUUCCUCGAUUCGGGAUUUAAACUGGUGACUUAGGAAACCAUUAAUUAUCCCAAGUGGCAACUCUGAAAUAUCUUAAACAGUUGGAUCUCGUUUCGAUUGUCCUUUAAUUGGAAAAACUCCGUUAUCUAUGCCCUUCGCAUGGUUGUUGUGCAAAAAGAAGGUGUGACAGCUCUGGCGACUCUGCUGGGGACCGAACCCAGAAUCUUUGGUUCAGGGUUCAAGAAUUUGAGCUUAGAAUAAUUGUUGUAUUUGGUUUUGUUUAUUAUUUCACAUGUUGACUUAAUGCGAAAAAUGAUGCUUUUACCGCUUUGAUAUUAUUUGAACUGUAUAUAUAAACUGUUACGAAACCCUUCUCUUCUUAUCUCCGGGGAUGUGCUUGCAGGUCGAGACUCCCUAUUCUGUUAGUGCCAUACCUUCAAAUAAGAAAGAGGUUCGGACAAGUUAAAAAGCUGGAUGUUCUUGUGGGUCCCCAGUACGUAGCCCCCUCCCCGACUCGAGUUUUCCGCUCGGGUGCACAGUCUAGAACAAAUACCAAGGUUUUAAACAUAGAAUAACUUAACCUCAUGCCGGAUCCACAUUAGGAAUGCUUGUCUGCAUUAUGCAUGUGACUUAGGGGACUCAACAUAGGGGUUGGGUCCGUCUAGGACAGGUGUACCCGAAAUAAUGGACCAUCAUGAUGCAUCCUACCUGUGCAUUUAUUUGUUUUGCAUUUGCAUGCUUACUGCCUUUUACGGGUAAGGAGAGUAAACCACCUGUCUUAAAAGAACCAAUGUCCAAAUACUACCGAAGCUCUGUUGAAAUUUUUUUUUGAACAAAAAAAGGAAAAAAAAAACAAAAAGGGGAAAAGGGGGAGUCUAUUUUAUUCGCCCAAGAAAAAGAAAAACCUGGUUUUCAAAAAUAGUUUUGUUUUUUAUAAAAUUAAAAAGGGAAAGCUAAGUCUUGUUUUCAAAUAAUAGUUUUGUUUGUCUGAAAUACGCCAGUUUGAUUCUCGUUAGGUGCGAGAUACAUAGGCAAUCUCCAUCGAGUCCAACCUCCCUUUUGUAAAAAUAGCCAAAACAAAGAGAAACAAAUGUCAAAUUUUAUUUGUUGUUCUAAAUAAAUCGGGUGAUGUUGUUGUUGUCAAGAACAACCGAAUGUUACCGAAAAGGAUGCCAGAAGGCUGAUUUUUCACAAACGGCCACCUUUGGGUUUCUAUUUUUAUUAUUGGACAGUUAACGGACACAGCCUUAAAAUCUUCCUCCGGAAAUGCUUAAAGGUCGUUUCCGCAAAGCUGGGCUCUGAUUUUAGAAAGUAAAUUGUAUGAAUCAAAAGGGGUCAUUUUUUUUAUUUUGAAGUCAAAUGGAAUAAAGUCUUAAGUUGCUAAUUCGCCUUAAUAAAUGUGCACGAUGAGCACAAUCCAAAACAAACCUUUUUUAUUUGUAAGCAGAAUCCCUUUUGAGUUGCGACUGUGGUGGAAUGAUCUAGGUAUAGAAGGGCAAGAUGAGGUGAAGAAAUAUUUGGGAGUCCUUCCCGGACUACUUGAGAUUUUACCUCGAGGGGACAUCAUAAGAGCGCUGGUCACAUGCUGGGACCCGACGCACAAUGUGUUCCACUUCUCAGAUUUUGAACUUACCCCAACCUUAGAAGAAGUAGCCAGGUACAUUGGGAUGUUGAGCUUCCUUUGAGGCACAAGUAUUUGGUAGCCCCAAGAAUUGUAGAAGUGCACAAAUUCUUAAAUACCCUUAUGAUAAGCAGAAUGGUACACGACUCAAACCUGGCAGCAGGGUUUUGUACUUUUUCAUUUUUGUAUACCAGAUAUUGUCACAUAGGGGGGUUCAACAAUCCAGGGAACAAAAUCUACAGCAAAGGAAACCCCGUCAAGUGGGAAGAACACAUACGUUUCGCUUUUACGUUGGAUUGUCUAGGGCUCCUGGUAUUUCCAAGGAAAGAUGGGAACAUUGACAUAAAAUAGCAGGGGUUGUCGGCACUCUAUGCACACAAGCCAAGUGCACACUCGCGCCUAUGAUAGUAGCUGAGAUCUUUCAUGCUCUCACAGCUUGCAUGGCCAGGAAAGAUUUCUUUGAGGGGUAAAAUCUGUUGUUGCAAAUGUGCAUAACCGAACAUUUGUGCCAUUGUCCCCAGUUCAUGAGCUCUGGGUCAGCAGAGAAAACUUGCAUAGAAGAGUUUUACACAAGAAUUGAAGGGCUCAGUUUGCCCGAAGGGGUAACAGGAUGGAUAUCUUACUUUCAAUCCCUCACUGCCGGUCAAAGAGAGUGGACUAUGGGAUGGUUGUCUGUGGACGAGAUUAUUUACGUGCCGACAAUUGAGCCUCACUUACUUCUGAUGGGUCUUAGGAGCAUCCAUCCAGAGGCGAAGUGUCGCCAGGAUACCUUGCUUGGUAUAGGAGAGAAAUUGCGUACGAGAGGCCAGCCAAAAGGCUCCACCUCCGGGAAUUUGUUGAAGCAUCGGAAGAGCAAUAGGGCUGGUUGGCUCAAGAACACGAAUACAGGGAUACAAUAAGCAAACUGUAGAAGCAUGUCAUGAAUUUGAGAUUUGAGAAGGAUUUGCAAGCUCCCGCAGAUGAAGGCAAAAAGAAGAAAAUGGUCAAGGAAAAUGAGGUCCUUCAGGCCCAAAUUCAAAAAAUUAAAGUAGCUGCUGAAAACCCCGGCCGAAGUACCAAGGAUACAAAACUUAUAGAAGGCUUGAGACAGAAGGUGAGUGACUACAUUUUUUAUUUGAACAAAGAAGAAAAAGAACUAGUCAGGGCUCGAAAGAAAUUGGAUGAAAAUGCGGCAGAACGAGCACGUCUGAUUAGGCAAUUAAAAGAGGAGUUCGACGGUGAGGUGACAGGGUUAAAGAAAAGGGUCGUCAUUGCAGAAAACAAAAUACUCAAAUAGGCAAAAGAGUUCAAAAUUGAAAGGGAAUAUUGUUACAUAGCAUUGGCACAAUUAGAAUCUAAUUUUCAACAGCUUCAAAAGUAGUAUCAAGUAGCUGAACAAAUUUUGGAAGCCAAAACUGAGCAGAUCGGGCGGUUAUUUAAGGAGAAAGGUGUUAUACGAGAGAGAAUCAAAUGGAUCGCGCACUAUAUCGCAAUGAAAUGUAGCAGCUUUGAGGAUAGGCCAAGAUAUAUGUUCUUUGCCACCACAAUGCUUUUUGUUCACUGCAUAAUGGAAGAUCUUCAUCACCUCCAAGGGGAUUUAGCUAGUCAACCCUCGGCAAGGCCAAAAAAAGCCUCAUACGUCCCAAGAGCAAUUGAAGCCGUAAUGUAUUCGUAAUUUCUUGAGAUUGUAUUUUUUCUUCAAAAGUCCGUCAGUUUGUCUUAGAGUCAGUAUUUUCUUUUAUGCAGGGUUAGCUGUUCUUCGAGUCUGUAGUUCGUCCUUUAUCAGAGUCUGUCUGUUCUUCGAGUCUUUGUAACCAAGUUUGUUAUUAUGAAAAUUAAAAAACGCCAAAAUAUUUUUUGCUCACUUUUAUUUCCAGAACUACGCUAGGUCUGAUUCAUAUGGGGUCAUGAUAUGUAGGCAAUCUACAUAGGAUUCGUCCAUAACCGAAUAAAGAAAAAGGAAAAGAGAAAAGAAACGAAAGGGAAAGAAUAGGAGAGAAAAGUAGAGGACAAUCAAGAAAACAAACAAGAAAACAAAAUAGGAGAGAGUAAUAAAAUAAAGCAAAAAAGACGGGGGCAUUGAAAACAAAGAAAAUGAAAGUCAGAAUGAGGCAAGCAACCGACGCAUGUAGCGACCCAUCCUUGUUUAGGUGCAUUCACACUCAAUAUGUGGCCUAUUGCAUGUUAAAACCUAACCAUUAACAAGUUUUUUGGUGAUUUGUAAUUCCAGACUAGACAGGUGGUUAGUACUUGUGGCAUUCUGGCAACCCACUCUUACAACACGCGGUCCAAGAGCAAGCAUGUCAUGGCCAAUCAGGAAAUCGAUGUCAGCAUUAUUGACCCCUCGAAAGAAGUAGAGGAAUUGGACGUUAAUGCCAUGAAGGAGGAAAUGUACAAACUUAAACAUCAAAUGGCCAAGAUGUACCAAGCCUGGGCGAGAGGACAGCCAUCCCCAGCCUAUCCUGCUAAUCCAACCUUCAUCCCGCCACUAGCCCAAGCUCUUGACCAGUCCACCACUGAUCUACCCCCAAUUGUUCCUAUCUACUCGCAGCACCAGGGUACGACAUCUCAACCACCACCAGCUCCACUACCCAAAGUCGCUCCUCGCCCCCCUCCACCAAUUGCUCCCAUCUACGUGGAACCUCCUCCUCCGCACUCCAUAGAUCGUCAAGUGAACCCUUGAUUCAAGCUUAUGACCACCAAUACUAUCCACCAGAACCUGCUUAUAAAGCCCAUGAACCUUACUCCUAUGCUCCUCGUCUCGAAAUCACGGUGGGAGUUUAGAAGCCAAUCAAAAAUCCUGAGGGGGAGGAGGUACUCAAAAAGGUCAGAAGUUUAGAAUAGUCGUUCAGGGAAAUGCAAGGGUUAGGUGGCUAGGUGAGCGUGGCGUUCAAAGACCUUUGUCUAUUUCCAGAUGUGUAGUUGCCUCCUGGUUUCAAGAUGCCUAAAUUUGACUUAUAUGAUGGACAUGGUGAUUCGGCUGCGCAUCUAAGGGGGUUUUUCAGCAAAAUGAGAGGAGCAGGGGGAAAAGAUGAAUUACUAAUGGCGUACUUUAACUAGAGUUUAAGUGGGUCGGCACUGGAGUGGUACACUCGGCAUGAUCACAAUCGGUAGUACACUUGGGAUGACCUGGCACAAGUGUUUGCUUGUCACUUUCAAUAUAAUCUCGAAAUUGUCCCGGAUAGACUAUCUUUGACAAAACUGGAGAAGAGACACAACGAGAGUUUCAGGGAAUAGGGUUUUCGGUGGAGAGAACAAGCAGCUAGAGUUGAUCCUCCAAUGAAAGAGAGUGAGAUGGUUGACUAUUUCAUACAUGCUCUGGAACCUACCUAUUUCGGGCAUUUGGUGUCGGUAGUAGGUAAGUCUUUCAAUGAAGUAAUUAAAAUGGGAAGUAUGGUCAAGGAAGGCCUCAAAUCCAACAAGAUCAUGAGCUACUCUGCAAUCAAGGCAACCACUCAGGCCAUCCGGGGUGGAGCUGGGGCAACAUUUGGAGAGAAGAAGAAGGAGGAAGUAGGAACAGGUCUUUCAAUGAAGUAAUUAAAAUGGGAAGUAUGGUCAAGGAAGGCCUCAAAUCCAACAAGAUCAUGAGCUACUCUGCAAUCAAGGCAACCACUCAGGCCAUCCAGGGGGGAGAUGGGGGAAUAUUGGGAAACAAGAAGAAGGAAGAAGUGGCAACAAUUGAGUCGGGAACUUGGUUCAGGCCGCAAGCUCCAUCCCACUACACCCGACCCUGUCCUCACCACCAAACAUACCCACACCCUCCAUACAGCCCACCACAACAUUAAUAUCCGACGUUAGAACCUCGCUUCUCAGUCCAUCACGCACAAGCGUAUACCUAACCUCCCGCCCACGCACAAUGGCCUGCACCAGCCCUACAAAAUACCUAUCCAACUCCACAAAAUCAUUACCCACCCUCAAGAGCCUACCAACAAAUCCCGAAACCCGCCUUCCGAACCAAUCUAGUCCUGAGAAAUGAAAGGGUGCAGAAGAAGAAAACUUUCACUCCUUUGGGAGAAUCUUACACUAGUUUAUUCCAUAUGCUGCAACAACUGGAUAUGUUGAGACCAAUCGAGGCGAAAUUGCCAAAUCCUCCCCCAAAGAAUCUAGACUAUUCUGUUAGCUAUGAAUACUGUACUACCGAGGCGUCAUACUGAAAAGUGUUUUCAUUUGAAGAAUGCUACCUAGGAACUUAUCGACUCCCACCAGAAUGAAGUAGAGACUCCAGAGGCACCCAAUAUUAACCAAAACUCACUGCUGGCCCAUCAUGAGACCAACAUGAUUGAGAUCGUGGAAAAGGGGGGAGAGUCCAAAACGCCCUUAUAGAAAGUAAUGAUGAUCAAAUCUAGUGAAGUUAAGCCAAUUGAGAAUAUGAGCAGUGAGAAUUUAGUGAUCGAGGCAAAGCGAGGAAACAGCAAACUUGUUGUAGUUCAAGGGAGCUCAUCAUGCACGGUUGCACCAAAACAGAAACAUACAAACGUAAUAGUACACGGGGCAACUAGAGAACCUAUCGUAUUUGUGGAAGGUGUUCGCAUAGAGCCUAUCAUUAUGAAACUAGUAAUCCAGCCACCAGUCGUCAACAGCAAAGCCGUUCCUUGGAAUUAUGAACAAGCAAUAGUGAUGUACAAAGGGAAGGAAGUUAGGGAAGAAGUUUGUGAAGCCAGAGGUUUAACUUGGUCAGGGAAAUACUUCUCCCCUGAAGAGUUGAGGAAAAGCAAGAUAUCUAAAGAUAACCCAGAAUCAGUGAAGAAAGCUGUAUCAGAAGAAGAGGCAGAAGAAUUCCUGAAGAAGAUGAAAAUACAGGAUUACUCCAUCAUAGAUUAAUUGAGGAAAACACCACCUCAGAUCUCCUUACUGUCCUUAUUAAUCCAUUCAGAUGAACAUCGCGGAGCGUUGAUGAAGAUUUUGAACGAAGCCCACGUCCCUGAUAAGAUAACAGUGAAUCAUUUGGAGAAAAAUGCAAAUAAAAUAUUGAAGGUAUAUCGGGUCACUUUCUCUGAUGACGAGCUGCCUAUGGAGGGCACUGAGCACAAUUGGACCCUUUAUUUGGCUGUAAAAUUUAAAUAUGAUAUGGUCACCCGAGUUCUGGUUGACAAUGGAUCCAGUGCAAAUAUUUGUCCCAUCUCCACAUUGAUCAAGCUGAAGGUGGAGAAUUAAAGGGUCCACAAGAAUAAUAUUUGUGUUCGGGGUUUCGAUGGCAGAGGCAAAGAAUCAGUAGGGGAUAUAGUGCUGGAGGUGAAAAUAGGGCCUGUUGAGUUCACCAUGGAAUUUCAAGUGCUGGAUGUGGUAGUUUCUUAUAACCUGUUGUUGGGAAGGCCUUGGAUUCACACAGCAAAAGGAGUGCCGUCUACAUUGCACCAGAUGGUCAAAUUUGAAUGGGACAGACAAGAGAUUGUAGUGCACGGUAAAGAUAAUCAGUCUGUUUCAGGUUAUGCUAUCGUACCUUUUAUUGAAUUUGAAGACAUCAAAGGUCCAUGUCAAUCAGAUAUUCGACACGGUGUCAGUUGAAAAGAUCCUGGAAGGUGAGAUUGUCACAACUCUGAAGAUAGCAUCCGCAUUAGUCAUGGUGGCUUCAAAAAUAUUGAAGAAUGGUUUCGUGCCCGGCAAGGGGUUGGGUGAUUCUCUACAAGUCAUCGUGCAACCAGUGACCCUCCCUAAAAAUUUGAAUACUUUUGGUCUAGGGUUCAAGCCUACAGCUGCGGUCAUAAGGGAAGCUCGAAAGUUAAAGCAGAGGGCCUAGGCCCUCCCAAAGCCCAUCCCAGGUUGUCCAAAUCAUUUUUCAAGCCCAGUACUAGAAAUUUCUCCAUGCCAAAGAUUCCCGGCCCGUUGAUCGACGUGGAUGGGGAUUUGGACAAGGGAUUAGAAAGGUUGUUCAAUGAGGUAAAUAUGGUCGAGGCAGGAGAAGGAUCAAGAAAAGCAGACAUGCAGUUUGUGGGAGCAUGCGCAAAAGUCAAUAACUGGGAAGCCACUCUUGUUCCCACCCGGAUGGAUUCGUGGUAGUCGGAUUUGAUUUUUCUUUCAAGUCUAGUUUGGAUUAUCCUCAUAGUUGUUAAUUUAGUUUUCAUUUCCGUCCUUUUGGAUGUGUAAACUAUGUUAUCUUUUGAUUCUAAUGAAAUGCAAUUUCCUUUCCAGUAAUGCAGAUAGUUUCCAUUUUUCUUUACUUCUCUUUCUUUUCUCUUUUGUACAGUUAUUUUUAUGUUGUUUCUAAUGAUCCGACAUGCAUAAGGACUUUCCGGCCCAGUCUUAAGAAUCGUUCUAGUUCAGAAAUAAUAAUUCAGGAAAUAGAGCACGAGGAUGAGCCAAAAUACAACGAGGAAAGGGCAUGGGAUGAAAUUAGUAAAGAGUAGAGCUAGUUUGAGGAAAAACCCAAACCAAACCUGAGCGAUACAAGGGCAGUCAAUUUAGGAAGCCCGGAUAAUUUCAGAGAAACAAAAAUAAGUGUCCUUCUGGAGUCACAACUUAGGAAAGAAAUAUUUGAAGUACUGCUUGAAUACAAAGUUGUCUUUGUGUGGUCCUACAAUGAUAUGCCCGGAUUGAGCACUAACUUGGUGGUUCACAAAUUUCCCACAGACCCGGCCUGUCCUCUCGUCAAUCAAAAGUUGAGGAAGUUCACAACUGAUGAGCGUGAAAAUCAAAGAGGAAGUGACCAAGCAGUUUGAGGCAAAAGUUAUACGAGUUACACGAUAUCCUACCUAGUUAGAUAAUGUUGAGCCUAUACCAAAGAAUAAUGUAAAACCAGAGUGUGUGUCGAUUACCAUGACCUCAAUAAAUCAAGUCCGAGGGACAACUUCCCCCUGCCGAACAUUCACAUACUGAUUAACAACUGUGCGAAGCAUGAGAUCGGGUCGUUCGUGGAUUGUUACACAGGUUACCUCCAGAUCCUAAUGGAUGAAGAACGCUGGGACAUAUUGCUAUAGGGUCAUGCCUUUUGGUUUGAAGAACGUUGGGGCGACAUACAUGAUGGCAAUGACAAUCAUUUUUCAUGAUAUGAUACAUAAAGAAAUUGAGGUCUACGUGGGUGAUGUGAUUGUGAAGUCUAGAAAGCAAUCCGAUCAUGUCAAAGAUCUGAGGAAAUUCUUCCAUAUGCUCCGCAUGUAUGAUCUCAAACUAAAUCCAGAAAAAUGAGCAUUUAGGGUCCCCUCAGGGAAGUUUCUAGGGUUCAUAGUCAUCUGACGAGGCAUUGAACUAGACCCGUCAAAGAUCAAAGCUAUACAGGAACUACCGCCACCAAGGAAUAAAAUAGAAGUGAUGAGUCUAUUGGGAAAAUUGAAUUACAUCAGUCGAUUCAUUGCUCAACUCACAACCAUCUGCAAGUCCAUCUUUAAGCUAUUGAAAAAGGAUGCUACAGUGAAAUGGAUGGGAGAGUGCCAAGAGGCUUUUGAUAAGAUAAAGAAAUAUAUGUUGAACCCACUAGUAUAGGUCCCUCCAGAGCCACGAAGGCCCUUGAUCUUAUAUUUGACAGUCUUGGAAAUUUGGCUGCGUGUUGGGUCAGCACGAUGUCACCGGGAGAAAAGAGCAGGCCAUAUACUACCUCAACAAGAAAUUCACAGCAUAUGAGGUUAAGUAUACUCAUCUUAAAAGGACAUGCUGUGUCUUGAUGUGGGUAGCCCAGAAGUUAAACCAUUACUUGUUCUCAUAUACCACUUAUCUCAUCUCACGUCUGGAUCCAUUGAAGUACAUUUUCCAGAAGUUAAUGCCCACAGGAAGGCUCGCGAAAUGGCAAAUCUUGCUCGCUGAGUUUUACAUUAUCUAUGUGACUCGGAUUACCAGAAGGCAUAGGCAUUGGCUGAUCAUUUAGCUGAGAAUCCAAUAGACGAAGAAGGCACAGGCAUUGGCUAAUCAAUUAGCUGAGAAUCAAAGGAUUGUUUGUCGUGUCAAGAGUAAUGUCCAAUGGGGCAUUGUAUUUAGCAAAUGUGGAAGGAAAAUGCGUAGAAAUGGCUAUCAAUUCAGAUGCAAUCAAAAGAUAUUAUGUAUGAUUCUCUUUUGUUUGAACCAUUGUCUAUUUGUACGUGGCAUGUAUUAUAUAAUGAAAUGAUGAAGGCAUUUUAUUCCGCUAUCAAAACACAUUACCCUUUGUUAACCCAUUUGAGCUUCAGUUAUUUUCCCUUUCAUAUCCCGUCUUUCGAAAUCGGUAACAAAACGCAAGUGUGAGAAGGCAGUGAAAGGAAAAGAACGGAAAGAAUGAAAAGAAUGAAAAAACAAAAGAAAAGAAAAAUAAAUAAAAUCAAGAAAAGAAAAGAGAAAAGAGGAAAAGAAAAAAGAAAAGAGAAAGAAAACAAAACAAAGAAAAGAAAAGGAAGAAAAAAAAUAGAAAGAAAAAAAGGAGAAAAAACAACAACAAAAACAAGGAACAAUCAGGAACUACGUUUGACCUGAUUCCUUUUUAGGAUACGUAGGUAGCCUCACGGCUCAGUCAUAUUCAAAUAAAUCCAAAAGCCCCAAGCAAGAAACUGGGCCAGAAAUUGCGUUGCUUUGGAUUCGAAAGUUGUAAAUUUUGAACCCAUAAAAGCGAUUGUUGAGCCUUUCACACCCUUUCUUUCUAACCUUAUCCAAAAACCCACAUUACAGCCAAGAGAACGACCUUCUAAUCAAUCUGUAAGAAAUGGCGGGGCAAGCAAGAAGAAGUGGACCAUACCUCGGGACGAUACUCUAGUUCCUGCAGAAAAUAAUAAAAUGAGAGUCUUAUUGGUGAAAACUCUCACGGGAACCAUAACGCGACGAGAGUUUGAGAGAAAUAAAGAUGAGAGAAUCUUAUUGGUGAAAACCCUCGUAGUCACCAUAAGGCGAUGUGAGUUGAGAGAAAUAAAAAUGAGAGAGUCUCAUUGGUGAAAGCCCUUAUGGGCACCAUGUGAUGAAGUCAAGGCAAGAAGCAACAAUUCAAAAAAGGGGCAAUUGGCGGAAAUCCGUUCAGAACACCGUAAGGCAAGCGAAGCUAAGGUUUGGUUGAAGGAAUUGAGUUAGAAAUGGUCGCAACAACAAAAGCAUGGUAACAAAAGGCCGAUCAUCAGGAUAGACUGGGUUGACUAGGCCGAAGUGCAUGUUAUGAUCAUGAAAGACCAGGUGCUCUUUCUCAGAUAAGUUUCCUUUCUUUUCCGUUCAACAGUCAGUGAAUGUGAAAUUCUUUACCCUAAAUACAGUUCUGAGUCAUUGCAUCUCAUUUUUCUUUCAAGUCUCUAAAGUAUUUUUUUAAGAAAAUGGGAGAAAUUUCAAAGCCUAUUAUCAGCUCCCAAAGGGACAAAGCGCAUGACGCCCAAAAACGUAACAAAGGCAGCAGAGUUUGAAGCAGCAAGGGGAGGGAUUCACAAGAGCUUCAAUGAUAAAAUCAAUGGAAGAGACAAGAGUUGGCAAAGUGAGGGAGCAUCACACAAAGAUGGGUAUGAAAAUUAAAAUCACAAAGGUUCUGGUGUCAGCGGAGCAUAACACACUGACCGGGUAAUCUCAUAAAGGAUGCAAUGAUUCUGGAAAAAAGAGUCAGAAGCGCAACACAAAGAUGGGAAAGGUCACAAGGGUUAACCGAGCAUAAUACAUUGACCAAACAGCCAUCAGAGAAGGACAAAAGAAUUCUGGAAAAAGGUCGAAAAUGCAACACAAGAUGGGGAGCAAGGUAAAGACACCAGCGUCAAAGGUCAGCCAAACAUCAUAAUCUGACCGGGAAGUCCCAGGGAAGGAUGUGAGAAUUCUAGCAAAGGGUCGGAAGUACAACACAAAGAUGAGGAACAGAGUGAAGGUCCAGGGGUCAGAGGGUCAGCCAAGCGUAAUAUAUUGACUUGGCAAUCUCGAGAAAGGUGCAAGGAUUCUGGCAAAAGUGCUAGAAAUGCAACACAAUAAUGGGGAGCAAAGUAAAGUCGUAAAGGUUCAAGGGGUCAACUGAGCAGCUCAAGAAAGUCAUCAUUAACAUGGAAAAUUGAACACAACGGAACAUGACAGAGAGCAGGCCGCUUCCAACAAGAAUGCUGCAAGCAAAGCACCACUUUUCAAACUGAAAAGUUAUCUUCGAUUGACACAGGGCAGAGAAAUUCUAGAAGAGCCUAAAGGGGGCCAUCCACAGGGGAAGGCCGGCACAUGGCAGGUCUGACCAAAAAAUCAUGGCAUAUAGUCUGUCACAAAUGUUCUCCCCAACAAGAGUAUAUUGGGAUAAACUUUAACUAGCAAACCCCAACAGAAACAAUUGAGGGCAAAAGAGGCAUGUAAUGGAACACAGUUUAAAACUCAAACAUGUGCGAGUAAUAUGGGCAAGCACCAACACCUUCCCCCAGUAAGAGUCGUCGAAAUCCUCCUGGUCAAUGAUCAAUAGCAGAAACAACCAGAAGUUAGAAUUGGCAUUUAAUCUGUAACCCUCAGGACCCUCUUAGAGAAUGGGACUUAUUUGAAGGUUAGAGGCAAUUAUGGACAGCAAAGAGCAUAAUGUGAUUUGUAUGUUGAAAGAGGAUUCAAUUAGAGGUUGUCAGGACCCUCCUGAAAAAUGGGACUUAGCCUAGAAUACAAACAGUAGGGUGGCAUGGUCAAACCCAAAUACUUCCCCAACAAGAGUCAUCAGGAUCCGCCUGGAUAAUGNNNNNNNNNNNNNNNNNNNNNNNNNNNNNNNNNNNNNNNNNNNNNNNNNNNNNNNNNNNNNNNNNNNNNNNNNNNNNNNNNNNNNNNNNNNNNNNNNNNNNNNNNNNNNNNNNNNNNNNNNNNNNNNNNNNNNNNNNNNNNNNNNNNNNNNNNNNNNNNNNNNNNNNNNNNNNNNNNNNNNNNNNNNNNNNNNNNNNNNNNNNNNNNNNNNNNNNNNNNNNNNNNNNNNNNNNNNNNNNNNNNNNNNNNNNNNNNNNNNNNNNNNNNNNNNNNNNNNNNNNNNNNNNNNNNNNNNNNNNNNNNNNNNNNNNNNNNNNNNNNNNNNNNNNNNNNNNNNNNNNNNNNNNNNNNNNNNNNNNNNNNNNNNNNNNNNNNNNNNNNNNNNNNNNNNNNNNNNNNNNNNNNNNNNNNNNNNNNNNNNNNNNNNNNNNNNNNNNNNNGGAUAAUUGGACGUAGUUCUAAAUGCUAAACCCAGACACAUUUUGUCAUCAAAGUAAGAGUUAUCAGGACCCGCCUGGAUAAUGGGAAGUAGUUCUAAUCACCAGUCACCAACAGAUCCCCAGCAGAUAUAACUCAUAACAAGACAUAGUUGAAAACAAUACCUUUUGAAAAACAUAACAUAAUCUUAAAGUUGUUAUUAGUUAAAAAAUUGUCAGGACCCUCCUGCAUAAUGGGACUUAGCUUUAGAGAUAUUUGAUAAGGAGAUUUGAUUAACACCCACAGAUCCGCCAAGCAUCAAACUGGGGAAGAAAGGAUUUCUUAUGUUUUGUUUUUUAUUUGUUGUGAUCAAGUACACAUGCAGCAGUCUUACGGAAUAUUUUUCAAGUUUCAAAUUUCGGUAAUCAGGCGUCCACCUGUCAGAACAAGGGAAUAUUUUUCAAGUUUUAAAUUUUGGUAAUUAGGAGCCCACCUAUUAGAACAAGGGAAUUAUUUUCAAAAUUCAAGUAAUGGUAAUUAGGCGCCCACCUGUCAGAACAAGGGAAUAUUUUUCAAGUUUCAAAUUUCGGUAAUCAAACGCCCACCUAUUAGAGCAAGGGAAUACUUUUCAAGUUUCAAAUUUUGGUAAUCAGGCGCCCACCUGACAGAAUAAGGGAAUAUUUUUCAAGUUUCAAAUUUGGUAGUCAGGCGCCCACCUGUCAGAACAAGGGAAUACUUUUCAAGUUUUAAAUUUUGGUAAUCAGGCGCCCACUUGUUAGAACAAGGGAGUAUUUUUCAAAGUUGCAAGUUUUGGUAGUCAGGUGCCCACCUGUCAAAACAAGGGAAUACUUUUCUAGUUUCAAAUUUUGGAAAUUAGGCGCCCACCUAUUAGAACAAGGGAAUACUUUUCAAGCUUAAAAUUUCGGUAAUCAGGCACCCACCUAUCAGAACAAGGGAAUACUUUACAAGUUUCAAAUUUUGAUAAUCAGGCGCCCUCCUGUUAGAACAAGGGAAUAUUUUUCAAAGUUGCAAGUUUUGGUAAUCAGUCGCCCACCUGCCGGAACAAGGAAAUACUUUUCAACUUUCAAAUUUUGAUAAUCAGGUGUCCACCUGUCAAAACAAGAGAAUAUUUUUUAAGUUUCAAAUUUUGGUAAUCAGGCACCCACCUAUUAGAACAAGGGAACAUUUUCCAAGAUUCAAGUCGCGAUAAUCAGGUGCCCACCUGUCAAAUUAAGGGAAUAUUUUUCAAGAUUCAAGUUUUAGGCGCCCACCUGCAGAACAAGGGAAUACAUUUCAAGUCCAGCGAUUCGGCGUCAGACAUAGAAUAAGAGAACAAGAAGUCAGCAAGGCAGAGCAAGAUUGAAGAUGUAGAUAGGUUUUUUUGUAAUCCAUGGUUCAUAGCUUAGUUUAGCUUCUUCAUUUUUCACAAGGUGUAAUAAGGAGAUCUAGCAGUAGUAGCAGCAACAACAGCGAAAUUACAGCUUCGGUAGUCCUAGCUACUAAACCCUGUAGAACUACACUAACUUGAUUUCUUUGUAGCCAAGGAUAUGUAGGCAACCUUUGAAGCAGGGUUCGGUCAGACAUUUUUCAAAAUGCUUCUCACGGAAUGCCAAGCAGGAAAAAAUCUCUCGGUUUCUCAUUUAUCUUUGCCCAGAAACCCUUCGUGUCUCCAAGCAAAGAGGGGCAGCUGUGAGCACGUAAUUUUUGCCUCGCUCGAAAUAUUUCUUUAGAAUUCUUAAAAUUAUGAUUUUCUAUUAUUAUUUGAGUUUUCAGGAAUUAAUUGCGUGAUUUUGUGUUUAUUUGCAUUUUUUGUUCAUUUUAAAUUUGAUAUCAUUCAUGGAAAUACAAAAAUAGUAUAUUUGCAUUUAGGACUUAGUUUUUACAUUUUUAGGUUUAUUAGGUAAUUAAUGUUGAAAAAAAAAUUAAAACAAACUAACAAAAAGGGUCACUUUUACAUUUGUUUAGUUUUCUUUUUAAAUUUGGGAUUUAGUUUAUUUUUAGAAGUUAAUUAGUUUGCGUGUAGAAUUUAAAUUGGGUUUUGCCUAUUUUUAUUUUUUACUUUACUUGUUAAAAUCUGGAAAAAAAAAAAGAGAAAUUAUUAAAAAAAAAAGGAUUAAGUAAAAAAAGAAUAAAACAAAUAAUUUCUUUUAGUCUUAUUAGGAGACUUGAAUUGGGUCACUGUACACCUAAAUAUCCAGCCGAAACCCCUCAAGCCAACCUAUUAACCCACCCCAAACUCGGUACAAAUGGGCGACGCUUGAAACAACGUUGUUUCUGCACGAUCAAUCAGGGUCGUUGAUGAUGACAUUUGAUCAAUGGAUAUGAAUUCCCUAGGUUUUAAAUAUAUAGGUGUCAGAUUCCCCCCUCCACCCCUCCAAACCCUCUCUCAAACACCCCUGAAUACACCAGUGUACCACCGCUAUAUACCCUUUGUCCUCCACCAUCCACCAGCGGCCAGUCUCCAAUAAGCCCUAAAUUAACACUCUUUUCUCCACUUCUCCUCCUCUUUCCAACCCUCUAAACAACAACCCUCGAAUAUUAACCAAUCGUCUUGAAUAUUAGUACAAAUAUUCGACUGGUCUGCCGUCCACGGCGGCGAUGGCUCAAACGGCCACCAAUAAUACACCACAUGUUCUCCUUUCCAUCCUCUACCCAGAUCUGAACCAUGUCUUCCUCGAAUCUCCUUUGAACUUGUCAAAUAACUUAAAAUAUAGUCAUCGUCUCCACCGCCCACGGUGGUCUUACCUCUAAGCCCUCCUAGAUUUACACCCCUACACCUCCUCGACCUCCUCUUCCCAUUUCUAUGACUCCCUUGGCUCGAAUACCACCCAAUCAUCUUGAAUCUACAUUCAAACGACGACUGCUCUGCAGUCCAUGGCGGCGUCGGUGCCCAAACAACCUCAAAUCAUCACCCAACAACCCUUGAAUUUACCUCAUCCAAAUCCAUAUCAUAUUCCCUUCAAAUAGCCCUAGGAUUGGCCGAACAUCAUGCCAAAACGUUGACCCGAUCGAUGCAUGGUGGAUUCAAUACAUUUUCUGAUUGAAAAAAAAAAGCUAAGUGUUCUGUUUAAUGUACUCUUGACUACUUGUUCAUUUUAUUUUCUUGAAAUCGAUUCUAGUUUAUGUAUUUCAUCUCUUCAUGAUAUGCUCCUUCUUUCCUGCCUUUCUCCUUUGUUUCUUUGGUCUGACUGCGCAAAUUGAUAGUUGUGUUAUGAGAUUAAUUAAAACCAGUACGCUUCUUCUUUUGCUUUCAAUCUUAUUUUGUUCUUUUCUGUUUUCUGUGAUUGUUUUUAGUUUAAUUUUGCUCUGAUUUGGGUGAUCGUGCUUACUCUGGUUGUUAGUUUAAUUUUGGCAUUUGUUUCAUCGAUUUUGAUUUCCUAGUAGUUUGUAAUUUUGUUACUAGUUUGGCUCUUAUUAGUUCUUUUCUGUGUUUUUUUAUAUAUAAUUUUGUUCUGAUUUGGUUGAUCCUGUUUAUUUUAAUUGUUAGUUUAAUUUUGGCAUUUGUUGCAUUGAUUUUAACCUACUAGUAGUCUCUUAUUCUGUUACUAGUUUGGCCCCUAUUAGUUCUUUUAAUAUCAUAUGAAUAAGGAUUCGUGGAGUUUGGAUAUAAUCAAUUUAAUAAAGGUAAAGGGGGUCAGCUCAUAUAGUUUGGGUAAUUUCAGGGGUAGUACAGGUAUUGUGAGUUAGGGAAUCUGGCAUUCAACUGAUUUGGAAGCCCCUAGAACAUUCUAGGAGAGGUUCUAAUCAGAUUUUUGAGAUAAGAAUGUUAUAAAUUGGCCAUCAAGUUAAGAAAUCAUGGACUAAGUGAAUAAAUCUGAAAAUAAAAGGGGACUAAUGGGUAAACACAAAAUAAGAAGGUUGCCCUAAGCUUUGGCUAUAAAAGGUCACCCUAAUGAUUCAUUGACAAGUUCCUAGCAGAUUGAAAUCCUUGAAAACCUUCCCAAGACUUCUGAACUCUAAAAAUCAUUAAAAAAUUCCUUAAAAUUUCCAAGAAAUCCUCAAAGAUUCCUAGGGUCUAACAUUUCACAAAACAUUGAUUCAUUGGAGUGUUUUCUUCAUAAUUAGUUCCAAUUCUCAACAAUCAGUUUGAAUUGCUAACUUGAAUAAGCUGGAAAUGACCUAAAAUAUAUGUGUUUGAGGUGUUAAGAUUUCAUAAGCUUAGGUGGAUUUAAUUCUGAGUAUAUUUGGAUUACGUUUGAGGUUUUUAGGUUGGCUCGCUGGUGUUAUUUGCUAUAGAUCAUUGUUCUGGUUUAUUUGACAACUUCUCCUAUCAAACUCUGGGUUUCUAAUGCUGGUUCACUGUUGUAUCUGUUGAUUGGUUUGCUAUUGCUAUUGCCUCUGAUUUGACUACUCAUAUGUGUCAUUUUUUGCUUCAUUCCAGGUGCAUGUUUUGAGCUCUUUCACUAUAUAUCUCAAAUGAAGGUUGAGCGACAAUGAUGCCUUGUUUUGUAAUAGGUUUAGGUUUUGCUUUGUAGUAAUUUAUUGACAAUGAUGCCUUGUUUUGUAAUAGGUUUAGGUUUUGCUUUGUAGUAAUUGAUUGUAAAUAACAUGGACUGCACUGGACUUUUAAAACUAUAAUGAAUUGGUAUUUUUUUAGAGGUUUUCUUUAACCUAUUUCAUACAUGCUAAUUUUAACGUUCCAAGUAGGUCAAGGGCUCAUGAAUCCUUGUAGCUAAUGUGGAGUACAGUUUUUCACUACAAACGACUUGAUUCAAUUUGUAUGUUGAAUCAUAAAUUUAAUAGUGGUAGUUUAAUUUGAAAGCUGGAUUAAUGAGACCUCACCUUUGACUUAAUAAAUCGUUAAGUUUAAUGAUAGUGCACCUGUGAGGUCUGUGGGCAAAAAGUUUAGUAUUGCUUAUGUGUAAUGGAUUAAAAUUGAUAUUUGUCUUACUUCAGUAGCCUGAAAUUUGGAGUCAAGUUUUUAUGUAAGUUCAUAUAUAUGCUCAGCCCAAGUUCGAAAACAUUUUAGUGAUUAAUUUCAUUUCAAAAUCAGAAGUUAUGUGUCUGAGCUUCAGGUUUUAAUGAAAAUACUAGUUGUUCGUAUUAAUUCCUCAAAUUUUAUAAGUAUUAGAUGAAGUCGAGUAAUCAGUAGCCUGUUUUGAUUAAACAAACGUGUAUUUUAUUUAUCAAAGUUUUGGAAAUAAAGUUAUGCAAGCUUAUAAUCUAAUUAAGGUCAUGUUUGGAUUGGAUCCAUUGAAGGAUCUGGGGUCAACAGCCCAUCGUCGAGUAAGCUAGGCUUCAGAUCUAGCCCAGGGCUGAUUCUAAUCCACUGCUCGUUUGGGCCUAGGCGAGACUGGACAAUUUUGCAAAGUUGGAGAGGGAUUCCAUGUCUCCGGGCUUAUAUUGAAGCCCAAUGAUUUUUAAUAGAAAACAUAGUCCCUUUUAGGAUAUCCUGACCCUCUUUAAAUGUGUAUUAAAUAUCUAGACUCCGGUACGUGCCAUUUAGCAAAUUCCAUGGCCUCCCGCAAAGUUAAUAAUACGCUAGUUGCUUUAGGUGCGUUAGUUUAAUAAUAGUACCUUCCUAAAUUCGGGUGCACAUUUACGUGACCUAAAUCCAAAUCCCAACGAAGUUGAAACGUGUCAAAAACCAGAGUUGCAUUUAUGUGACGUGGUUCGAGACAUGUUUUAUCGAUAUUGCAAUUCUCUUUAAAAAUAAAAGUAGUUAAAAGAUUCAAAAUGCACAUAAGUUCAUAAUAGUAUAAAAUCAGAUAAUUUAAGCCAAAUAUAAUAGUUGAGCGACCGAGCUAGAACCACGAAACUCGGGAAUGCCUAACACCUUCUCCCGGGUUAACAUAAUUCCUUACUCGGAUUUCUGGUUCGCAGACUAUUAAACAAAGUCAUUCUUUCCUCGAUUCGGGAUUUAAACCAACGACUUGGACACCAUUAAUUAUCCCAAGUGUCAACUCUGAAAUCUCUUAAACGGUUGGAUCCCGUUUCGAUUUUCCUUUAAUUGAAAAAACUCCCUUAUCUACGCCUUUCGCGGGGUUGUAGUGCAAAAAAGAGGUGUGACACGGGGUACAAUCAAAUCUUAAUUGCUCAGAGGAUCAAGAGAAGACAACUUUUAUUUGUCUGUGUUGUACAUUCACUUUCUCUCGGAUGUCGUUUGGAUUGUGUAAUGCUCCGGCGACCUUCCAACAAUGCAUGACGGCUAUAUUCACCGACAUGGUGGAAGAUAUAUUGGAAGUUUUUAUGGAUGAUUCACUGUGGUUGGGGAUUCCUUUGAAUAAUGUUUGAGUAAUUUGGAUAGAGUUUUGGCCCGGUAUGAAGACACAAACCAUGUACUCAAUUAGGAAAAAUGCCAUUUCAUGGUAGAAGUGGGUUUAGUGUUGGGUCACGAAAUUUCAAAGUAAGGAAUUGAAGUUGGCAAAGCCAAGAGAUAGGUAAUUUCAAGACUUCCUCCUACUUCUGUCAAAGGGGUGAGGAUUUUUCUUGGGCAUGGGGGUAUUUACCGAAGGUUUAUAAAAGAUUUUUAAAAAGUGGUACACCUCUUGUGCAAGUUGUUAGAAUAGGAUGCAAAGUUUGUGUUCGAUGAAGGAUGUAUGCAAGCAUUCAAGCAUCUCAAGCUUAAGUUGACCAGUAACCUUAUCAUUACCAGACCAAAUUGGAGCUUUCAUUUCGAGCUCAUGUGUGACGCAACUGACGUUGCAGUUGGGGCUGUUUUGGGUCAAAGGAUAAACAAGUUUUUUAAUCCCGUUUACUAUGCAAGAAAGACCAUGAAUUAGGCUCAAAUGAACUAUUACAAUCACCAAGAAAGAGUUGUUGGCUAUAGUGUUUGCUAUGGAAAAGUUUCAACCAUAUCUUAUGGGGGAAAGGUUAUAGUGUACAUCGAUCAUGUUGCCCUUAGGUAUUUGAUGACAAAGAAAAAUUAAAGGCAAUAUUGAUGAGAUAGGUGCUACUUCUCCAAGAGAUUGAUCUAGACAUUGUGGACCGUAAAGUGGUAAAAAUCAAAUGGUGGACCACUUGUCCCGUUUGGAGGAGGUUGGGAGGCCUUGUGAUGGCCUUGAGAUCAAUGAUUCAUUUCCCGACAAGUAACUCCUUCCGGUGUCAAUGAAUGAUAUGAGGUGGUUUGCCGAUGUUGCCAAUUACCUUGUUACUAGAAUAAUCCCGUAUGAGCUCUCUUCUAACCAAAUGAAGAAGCUCAAGUGGGAUACUUUGGAUUUCUAUCGGGAUGAACCAUACUUGUCCAAGAUUUGCACAGACGGUGUGAUUCGUAGAUGUGUCCCGGAGGAAGAACAAUUGAGUAUCAUUGAGGCUUGUCUUUCCUCUCUCUAUGGUGGCUAUCAUGGCGGGGCAAGGACAACUUCAAAAGUUCUUAGUUGUGGAUUCUAUUGGCCAACCUUGUUCAAAGAUGGGGGUGAUUUUGUGAAGAGGUGUGACGAGUUCCAAAGAGCGGGUGGAAUUUCAAAAAGGGAGUAAUCCCUCUUACUACCAUUCUUGAAGUGUAUAUCUUUGAUGUUUGGGGCAUAGAUUUCAUUGAUCCAUUUCUUAUCUCUUGUGGGAACACUUAUAUUCUUGUGGCGGUUAAUUAUAUCUCAGAGUGGGUUGAAGUCGUGGCUUUUCCUGACAAUGAAGCCCGGAUUAUUGUUUUAUUUCUUAAAAAGAACAUUUUCACAAGGUUUUGCACACCUCGUGCGAUUAUUAGUGAUGGGGGGUCUCAUUUUUGCAAUGAAGAUUUUGCCACAUUGCUUUCCAAGUACGGUGUCAAUCACAAGGUUUCUACCCCCUACCAUCCUCAAGCUAGUGGUCAAGUGGAAGUCUCAAAUAGGGAAAUCAAGAAGAAAAAAAUCACGAAAAAGUCUAGAAAUAGCUUGAAGACCCGAUUCAUAAGAUCCAUGAAAGCUGUCGGGGCGUUGGUUAGCUCAAAAGACAUGACCAAGAAUUCAAAGUGACCAUAGCGAGUUCUGAAAGCAGUCUUAGGAAUAUCCUGCUCUCUGAUCUUUAAUUGGUGAUACCCGAAUCGUAGAUCAAUUUUGGAGAAGAACCUUGCACCUUGCAAUUGGUCGAAAGAAUCAUCUAUCAGAGGAAAAGGAUAUUUAUUCUUGAUGGUGACUUUGUUGAGCUGCCAAUAAUCAAUACACAUCUGGAGCGACCCAUCCUUCUUUCUGACAAAAAGAACUGGAGCACCCCAUGGCGACAUACUCGGCCGAAUGAACCCCUUUUUCUAAUAAAUCCUUCAGCUGCUCCUUUAACUCCCUUAACUCCGCUGGCACCAUUCUGUAUGGUGGAAAACAUAUCGGUUGCAUAUCCAGCAAUACAUCAAUCUCGAAAUGAAUCUCCCUAUAUGGCAAAAUCCCUAGAAGCUCAUCCGGAAACACUUCAAGAAACUCAUUCACGACUGGCACGGAUUCGAACACAGACACUUCUAAAUUGGUAUCCGCCACUCAGACCAGUUGAUAGAUAUGCCCUUCUUAAUUAUCUUCGAAGCCUUAAUGUAAGAAAUAGACCUACCCUUCGGCACUACACCAUUUCCCUUCCACUCAAUAAGCGGCUCAUUAGGGAACUUGAGUCUCAUGACCCUCGUUCAGCAGUCAAGUUUAGCAAAGCAUGAAUAAAUCCAAUCCAUUCCCAUAAUCACAUCAAAAUCCACCAUUCCAAGCUCAAUAAGAUAGGUCAAAGUAACAUGACCACAUACCGUGACAACAUAAGCUAUAAACUCGCACGACUGUAAUAGAAUCACUGACCGGAGUUGAUACAGAGAAGGGCUCAUAAAGAUAUUCGGGUUCUAUCCCAAAACUUGGAGUAAUAAAUGGGGUUACAUAAGACAAAGAGGACCCCGGAUCAAUAAGAGCAUAACAAUCACUGGCCUGAACAGAUAAGAUACCUGUAACAACAUCUGGAGAAGCCUCUACACUCUGGCGACCACUCAAAGCAUAAAACCAGCUGGGUCCGACUCUAUGACAAGCUCCAUCCCUAACUACACCAUGCCAUGCUGGAGCUAGAGGACACACGAAUGAUGGGGCAGCUAAAGAAUUGGAUGACUGAGCAAAUCCCCUACAUAUGCCCUGACUGGGCGCACGAUAGUCCCGCUGGAUAUGACCUCUCAGGGGGCAUCUAUAGCAUACUGGGAUAUCCAAAUAACAAGUCUCAGAAUGGAACCUCCCACACUUGGGGCACGGAGCUCUCCCCUACUGCUGUAAUUUCCCUCCUGGACGAUCGGAUUGAUGGGGUCUCCCACUGCCUGGACCUGGCCUCAAGUGACUACCCUGCUGAUAACUAUACAUAGAUGCAGUGCCCUCGCUGAAGACUGUGCAUAUGACUGGGAUGUCCCUGAUGGCCCUCUCCCCUAAACUGGUCUCCCUUAGAGACCCACCGAUCGGGCCCUGCUGCUACUCUCCCUUUCCGCCCAUAUCUUUAACUUUCUAGCCUUUUUGUCCUGAGCGAAUCCCACACUCUUUCCAUAAUUCAUAUCCAAGUGUAAGGCCGUUAUAGCAGCCUCAAUCACCACCAAAGGACUAAUACCUUGAACGAAUCGCCGAACUCGAGAACCCAUGGUCGACACUAACUGAGGAGCAUACUUGGACAAUCUCACAAACUCCAUGGGGUACUCCCAAACACUCAUACUGCCCUUCUUGAGGACCUCAAACCCAGUGGCACAGGCUACCAUUGUCUACGCGAGCAAGUGGUCCAUAAUUGCAUCUACAAACUCAUCCCAUUUAGCCGGAGGACUUUCCUCCCCACGGGAAUCCUCCCACAUCCUGAACCACGAAUAUGCUACUCUCUCAACCUGUAUGAAUACAAUCAACUCCCUCUAUCUCUGUAGCCUUCAUCACUCAAAGGGUCUUAUACAUUUCAUCAAGGAAAUCCUGCGAAUCGGCCUCUGGGUUUGUGCCUGUGAACUCUGGAGGGGCCAAUCGCAGAAACUGGUUAACUCUGGUGCUGGCGGAAUCUCCUUGUUCGCCGGAGGACGUAGGGGCAUCAUGAGAUCUCUAGGCCAGAGCGGCCACUAACUGGGUCAACAUAUGGAUGGCUCCUCUAAGGUCCCCAUCAGAAACCCCGGGACCAGAGGCUGGAACUGCAUCAGGGUCAGGAAUAUCGGUGGGAAGGCUGGUAGUACCCUCUACCACAACAGGAACAGGAAUACUUUGAUCUGGAAUAGAUGGGCAGGUAGAUUCAAGAACGGGGAGCCACUCUCAUCCACGGUACCAAGUACAUGGUUCAUAGCCACACUUGGGGUGGCAUUGGCCCAAAGGCCGAGUCUAGCUCUCUUCUUAGGUACUGUUACUGAAAAUUUCGAAACAUGUCACGAGUUAGGAAUAAAUACUUUCACUUUUCACUUCACCGCACGAUAUAGAAUAACAAAGAGGAGGGUGAUUUCCUAAAUUUCCAUGUAGCCCCCACAUAUAAAUAUGGUCGGCAACACACCGAUAAUAAAGGCUCUACUAGACACGGCUCUAAGACAUCCUAGGACUCUUUUAAAGCCUUAGGCUCUGAUACCAAGAUUAACAUGCCCCAAAACCGAGGGACAUGGCCAGCGCUCGACCGGGUAGCCCCAGACAAGCGGACCUAGGUGUCUUUCCGCUCAUUAUUCAAGUGAAAUAGCCAUUUAUAAUUAAACACAUUCUUAAGAGUUAUACAUAACGUGGAUGUAAUCUACAAGGUACACUGUCCAGAUACAUAGAUACAUAAUUACAUAACCCAUGUUUCCUGUCUACGGAGCCUCUAGGGAUACAAAAGAGUUUUAAUAUACUUACUGGUAACAAGGCUCCGGCUAUACCUUGCACAAAUAACAAAAUAAGACUCUCUGAAGAAAAGCGGUAUGAGCCACGAAGGUCCCCGAGAGGAAAGGGACUCACUAAUACAGUUGACGGAAAGUGGAGGAGUUGCUACUAUCGGUGGAAUAGAGUACCUACUAUAGAACCACCUACAAUCAUAACAAGAAUGUAGCGCCCCGACAAAAAGGAAGUCAGUACAUUUGAAUUGUACUGGUAUGCAUGAACAAACUUCACCCCAAGUAAAAUCAAUCAAUACACAGAUAACCAACAGUAAUAGAAUCAACAAUCAAAUGCACAUAAAAGGAACAACCAAAGCCAACAAGUUUCAUAAUCUCUUCUUUCCCCUUUCAACAUCAUUUCAUACUCAAGAGUUUCAUAUAUUUUCAUUUCAAUAGUGAUUAUUAUCCAUUUUCAACCCUUAUUACCUCGGCCACCCUUAUUACCUCGGCCAUUCUUAUCACCACAAUCGACACCUUAUAACUUCGUGUUGCGGUGCGCAAACCCGAUCCCACCGGACAAUCACAUCUCACCCAACAAUAAUAGUUCACAGUUCAAUCACAUGACUUCAAGUCAUUCAGAAUAUCAUUUCAUAACAAUAAUAACAAUUCAGAAAGAGUUUUUCAUCAAUAUCAAUUACGAUUUUUUCCCAUUAUUUAUUACACCGCCCUUACCACAUGAAUACAUUCACAGACACCCUUGGUUUGUUGCCAUUUGUUUACACCAUCAUAUCAAGACGUUUAACCAACAAUGUUCAAGACAUAUUAAUCACAAGAAUUCAACAAAUAGGCCAUCAUGCCUUACACCCGUGAAACAACAAAAAUUCACAAAUAGUCCACAUAAGCAACACAUACCACUAAUUUGUAUACCAAACAGGGUGACUUCACAAAAUUUAAAGUUAGCCAUACAUACCCGGAGUCGAAUUUCUCUUUUAACUCCUACUCUCAAUUCACCAACUACCUAGUACCGCCAAUCUAGUUCACAAGUUAAUACAUGUAUCUUAGAAUUGAAAUUUACAAAUACAACCCGAACCCACUAAGAUUAUCAACCCCUCUUUUUUGCACACUUUUACUCCUACCCAAUUCCUCUUACUAGAUUUGAGGUAUUAAAGAAGAUGCAUGUAUGUUUCAACUUAUAUUCUCAAGAAUCUAUUCAUGAGAACACCCUUUUUUGUUUAAAUCUGAAAACCAAUAAAAAAGGGUUGGGGAUUUUACCUGCAAGAAUGAAGGAGAAGUUAAUUACUGGAAAUCUUUUGGUCUGGGCGACAUUGAAAACUCAAACUGAUAGAGAUGGUACUUUCUCUCUCAAGAACCCUCUAUUCCCUCUCUCUAGUUUUGUUCAGAAAAUAUGUUAAAAUGAAGGGUUGGAGUGUUUUAUUAAGAAGGGGUAGGGUUGAAAAAUUAGAAAAAUAGGAGCCCCGACGCGAAAUGCAGUCAGGAAUGCGAUCGCAUUCCUGACAUGCGGUCCGCAGACCGAUCGCAGAAUGGCCCUCAAAAAUGGGCCAAAAUUGAAACACUUUGUUUCAGGUAUACGACCAUUAUGCGGUCUGCAUACACGUUAUGCAAUCGCAUAGUGCAUCCAAAACCUCCCUCACCAAAAGUCAAUGGGCAAAAAUGCAAUAAAUAUGCGGUCCGCGUAACCAAAAUAUGAUCACAUUCUGGACCGAUAAUUGUCCUCCAAUUGGGUAGUGGCCUGCUAGGUAUGCGACUACUAUGUGAUCCGCAUACUCAUUAUGCAAUUGCAUAGUGCGUCGCAUAACGCCUAAUUUCUAGAAAAUUUUAUCUUUCAAAUUUCGGGGUACUUUUCUAUUGUUAUAACUUAUAACAACACAAGGACCUACCCGACAUUAUUUUAGAAAAAUAUUUUUAUGGGUCUUUACAGAAAAGUCAAAAUCACGAACCAUUUGAUUUUAUAAAAACUUAACUUGUGAAUCUAUAACACAUCCAAAACAAAAAAUUUAAUGUCAUAAGGAUAGUUCUAGAUAAUAGUUCGAAAUUAAUAUUAAAUCUCAUGCGGCGAUGAUUUCAGAUUUGUGUAGUCUCACCAAAACUUCUGUAUCUUGAUGUAAGAAUGUCAAAAUCACGAACUAUUUGAUCUAUUGGAAACAUAACUUCCAAAUUCAUAACAUAUCCAAAAUGUAAAAUUUAAUACCUUAAAAAUAGUUUCAGAUAAUAUUUCAAAAUAAAUACUAAAUUCUGAGACACUGACAAUUUCAGAUUUGCACAACUUUGUCAAAAGUUUUGUACCUUGAAGUAGGGACAUCAAAAUCACAAACCGCUUGAUUUCUUGGAAAUUAAACUUCAAAAUCUAAAACAUAUAAAAAUUAAUGCCUUAAGGAUAAUUUCAUAUGAUAGUUCGAAGUCAACUUUGGUUUCUGAUAUGGCGACAGUUCCAAAUUAGCGCGACUUCACCAAAAUUAUUGUAUCUUGGUGUGCAAGCCUUAAGGUUUUAAGAAAUUAUUAAUUGUCGGAAAUUAAAAUACAAGAGCUUCAUUCUCACCAAAUGCUCAAGUCUCACUGAAUUUUAAACGUCGUGAAGGUACAUGAAAAAAUACUUGAAUAUUUGGCCAACAUAAAAGCAUAGCAAAUCCCCGGACUUCAAUGCAAAUCCUUGGAACCUCCUAAAAGAUAUUAAUAAUUUCAUUAAAGACACCAAUUUACCAUAUCGGCUAGCCUCCUUUAAAUCAAACGGAAUCCAAAGUUUAACAUAAGAAUGUUGCCACAACUCGAUUUUCAAGUGUUGAUUGAAUGGAUUACAUUGCAUCGUACUUCAUUUGGAGAACGAAUGAGGGAUUAUGUAUCUUGUGAACUUAUGCGACUAAACUUAGAAUGAAACUCUAAGUUGCCUCUGUACCUGAGUGAAGAGGAUCAAGUCAUACCGUAGUUCAGAACAGGUAAUGUUUUUUGUUUUUUAUGUACUAACUUUUCCUAGGCCACCUCUUUUGAGGUUUUUAACCUAGCGGACUUUUUUUUAUUUUGUGUGGGCCGUACACAGUUUAGACUCAUGCGGGCCAAGAGUGUAGCAACAUGCAAUUUAGGUUCAUGCAUCAAGUAGCAUCAUGACUUGCAGUUUAGGAUCAUAUGUCGAAGAAUAUGGUACUAUCAAGGAUAAUACUUCUUCGAAAACAUGCAAUUGAUAGGGUCGAAUCUCAUGUCAUCUGCAUCAAUCGGCUUGUAAACCCCACUUGAGUAAGCUUCUUGUACGACAUAUAGCCAAUCCCAUUUUGAAUUAAACUUUCCUAUAAUUUUAUGAGAAGUAAUAAUGGGUCUUCUUAUGGCAAUGAGUUGAUCUCCUACUUCAGAGGAUCUCAGCCGAACUAUUUUAUUGAAGGCGUGAGACAAUCGAACUUGAUAACAUUCAAGACUCUAUUGAGCUUCCAACCUCUUCUCAUCAAGAGCCUCCAACUCUGAUAAUCUAAGUCGAGCAUUUUCUUCAUUAGUGAUCCCUUAUUUAAUAGCCAGUUGUAAUGAAGGUAUUUGAAAAUCGAGUGGCAAGAUGGCUUCGACUCCUUAAACGAGUGAAAAAUGAGUCAUUUGUGAUGGCAUGCGGCGAGUCAUCCUAUAUGCCCAUAAAGGUUCUUCCAUGCGGUCAUUCCAAUCUCGUUUGGAUUUGGAAAUGACUUUCUUUAACAAGUUGCAUAGAGUUUUGAUGAGUGCCUUAGCUAGACCAUUGGCGGUAGUAUUGUAUAUUGAAGAGUUACAUUCUUGAAGCCAAAGAGAUCAAAAUUUUUGUUCAUAAACCUAUUUCUAAUGACUUUCUAUUAUCCGUUAUUAUGUAAUGAGAAUUGCCAAAGCAAUAGAUUAUGUUUACUGGAUGAAACUUGCAACAUUUUACUUAUUUAGCUCCUUAAGAGCAACAACUUCCGCCUAUUUUGAGAAGUAGUCAGUAGAAGCAAAGAUGUACAGGUGCUCACCAGAGGACUUUGGUAGUGGUCCAACAACAUCCAAUCCCCAAGCGUCAAAUGUCCAGGAUGUAACAGUUGGGUGCAACACUUCAGGAGGUUGAUGAAAAAAAUUUGCAUGGUAUUUACAAGACUUUCAUCUUCGAAUGUAGUCCAAGCAAUCUUUUACCAUUGUUGGCCAAUAAUAUCUUAUCCUUUUUAUAUGGAAGUGAAGCUUUGGUCCAAACUGGUGUGACUCAUAUAACCCAGAAUGUGACUCUUGCAAAACUUGGAGUGCUUAUUCUUUCCCUAAGCAUCAAAAGAGUACUCCAGCCUUCGUAUCCUCGAAUUUCUGGAAGUGAGGUGCAUGACGACAGAUUUCAGUCCUUCUCCUCGGAUUUUCCGAAAGUAUCACAUAGCAUAGUAGUUGAUUAUGGCUUAUCACCAUUCUUUUUUUCAACUUCAGAAAUAUCGACAAGAUGCUUGAGUUCAUUUUCUUCACCUUUAGCCUUAUUAGCGGGGGUACUAUCCAUUUUUGAUACAGUAACUUGUGCUAGAUCAGGCAGGGUUAACGAUAAAGCUAGGGCAGCUAAAGCAUCAACCAUCUUAUUUUCUUUCCUUGGCACAUGCUAAAUAGUCGCAUCACCGAGCCACCCCAUUAAUUUUUUAGCGUAAUCAUGAUAUAGGCGUAGUUCAGGAUUCUUGACCUCGUAACUAUCUAAAAAUUGAUUGACCACUAACUAGGAGUCACCAUAGACUUGAAAUUGCAAUUGCUUCAUAUCAACGACCAUUUUAAGCCCAUGUAUUAAUGUUUUAUACUCAACAACCACUACAAAAAACUUGACUUUCAACAACUAAGUCUUAACUAAGGGAUAGAGAUUUGGUCGUAAUAAGUAUAUUUUUAACGACACAAUCUUUUUCCGGUCGUGGAUUGCCAAUUUCCAGUGUGGGGACAUUAUAAAGUUUAAAUCCAGUCACAAUUAGCAAAAAUUUAAGGCACUAAUUGUUCCCUCUUUAUUUUUCACAACCCAUGUCUCUCAGCUCGCCACUUCCACCCCCUCCCCCUCCCUCCCAACAAAAAAAGGAAAACACUAACCUUUCCUCUGUUUUGAUCGCAAAACAACAACAACAACUACCCAGUAUAGUCUCACAACAUUGGGUUUGGGGAGGGUAAUAUGUAGACGGGCCUUACCCCUACUCGAAAGGGCAGAGAGGCUGUCUCCGAUCGCAAAACACAUUCAAAGAUAUGUUAAAAAUAAUUUCAGCCUUAUCUCGUUUCUCCUCACCAUCACCUACUUAUCUACUGGUCUGAUUGUUGUCACAUGUGAUUGAUAAAGAAAAUGCAUCAUUUUUAGAGUUCUCUUCUCAUCAAUAUAAGUUUCUGCUUUUGCAACCAUUAGUUGCACUUUUAUAACUAUCAAUUGGGAAUUUUCUUCUCAUCAAUAUAAGUUUCUGCCGUCGUAACUAUUAAUUGCACUUUUGUAACUAUUAAUUGCAGUUGUAGAAUGUUGAAUUUUCCAUAGUCAUGCGUUUACACUGUAUAUAUAUUUCAAUCUAAGGUUCUUUUGCUUGUUAUGGUAUCUGUAAAUUUAAUUUUGGACAAAUAUUUAUAGCUACUCUGUUUACAUAUUUUUGGUACUAUGUUGUAUGUACUGAUGUGAGCACAUUAUUUAGUAGGUUUUUUUGAAGUUAAAAAGAGGUGGGAUGAUGCUGAUUAUUGAAUACACUCGUUAAUCUGAUAAUUUGUGAUGAUUAUACUCUAUCCAUUUUCAGCCAUUGAUUUGAAAUUGAGUUUUACUGCUCCGUCAUUAUAAGUAUUUUCAGUUUGGAUGGGUAAAAAAUCAUAGUUUUCUUUGAUAAAACAAGCUAUUUGUUGUCGUACUAGGUGAAUCCUAAACUGACUUGAAGAAAAGUCCUAAUGUCUUUUCUGACUUUUGACCUAUCGUUUCCUACGUAAGAAAUAGGAGAAGUGAAAAUUUGAAGAGAAACCACUUUCGUUUUUAAUUCAUACUUUCAUCACACUAUCUUUUUCAGAAAAAUAGUAUUUUAUAAUUUUUUCUGUGAUUAAGAUUCUGAAAUUGUUAAACACGAGUGUGCCAACACAAUUAUCAUAAGAUGAAGUAAAAGGUGCAUUAUGUGACUAAGUGUGAAUUGCCAAAUUUACAUUACAUGUUAUAGUAGUUAAAUAUAAGCUUGAAGACAUCGAAGCCUGAAGUCUAUUCUAUAUAGAUACUGAAUAAGUUUUCCUUGUUGCUACCUGAGAUGUAUUAAUUGAAAGUUAGAAACAUGUUGAUUCGAUGAUUUAGCAAUAUCUUUUAUAUUUUGAAAAGAAAAUGUAGACCUUUAUAAAUUGUGUUAGUAAUUAAUUUUGCUAAGGUUUUGUACUUCACUUAUUCAAUAAAUAUUUUUGCAAAAAGACAUUAUUUGUAUUCUAGAGAAUGUGAUUUUAAUUUGAAGGAUAAUUUUAGAUUCUAUUUUGACGAGUGUGAAAGCAUUGGUAACGAAAAGGAUUAUUUGAACAUUUAGAUUCUUUAAUUCACUUUGUAACUAGAAUUUGUUAAUACAUUCUUGUGUUUGUUUUUCUACUUGAUAAUAUUUCCUGAUAAUUCAUAUUCAACAAUAAUACAAAUAAGAGCAGACACAUUUCUCUGUUUUUUAAUUUUGAAAAUCGUCCAAUAUUGUGGGACUAUCUGGUAGAUGUAAGUUAUUGAUGGCGACCUUUAUUAGAUAUUCAUUGUUUUGCAUCUUUUGUAUGACUGAGCACUAAAUUAUCGAGGUCUCCUUUUUUUUUUUAGUAGUUUAUUCUUUAUUGUUAUACUGACAUAGAAUUAUUCUUUUAUCAGAUCAAGGAUUUGAAACUUUGAAUAUCCUUCCCUUGAAGGAAGUAUAGAGCAAGUUGAAGUACACUAUGUUUUUAUUUUGCUAGGGAUGAUUUAAAGAUAGUACCUUGUGUACAUUUGCUAUAAUUUUGUUUUCUUUUUAGGAGUUGAUAAAAAUGAUGUCAACCAAUGUGGAUACAUAUAUUUUCUAGUAGUGUGAUGCUUUAGUCCGAUGUACUAACAAUGAGAUUUUUGUUAUUAUUGAUUAUUUGAUUUAUAUAUGGAUGUGUCUAUAUGUGUGUAUAAUCAUAUGAAAUAAUUAAUUAUUAGAAUUUGGUAAUAUAUAUUUUUAAUUACAUAUUUCACAUUAACGAAGUAAAAUUUGGCCUUUAAAAGUAUCGUUCGGAAGUAACACACAAGUAACGAAGGGAGUUUUGGCCGUUAAAAACACUUGCAUUGGCAGAUUUAGUUGUUCGUCAUUAAUGCUUUUAAUGACAUGAUGAUUAAGUAGCAAAGGGAAAAGUUUGUCAUUAUAAAGCAAAUAUAACGACCUGAAUUUAUGUCGUCGUUAAAGAAUCUAUAACAGCCGGAUUGAGAUCCGGUCAUUAACUUUUAACGUCAAGGCUUUUAACGACCGGUGAUGAUGGUAUUUUUUUCGGUCAUAAUUAACUUAUAAUAACCGAAUUUGGACUUUUAACGACUGAAUUUUCCCUCGCUAAAAGUCUAUUUUCUUGUAGUGAACAAUGUUGGAACAGAGUUUUGUCAAGGUGAAGGAGUAGGUGAAGACUUCACCUUGGGAAGUGACAGAUACUACGCCAGCACCAGCUCCUCCAUGAUGCACAACAUCAUCAAAGUACAUCUUCCAUGGAGGUUGAACUUAAACGACUAUUGCAUCAUCAACAGGUAGCUCGUUAGUUAACUCUAGUCAUCGGGUAUCAGAUAAUCUGCCAAGAGGUUUCUGCCAAUGCUUGUCCUUUUGCAGCCUUUUGAGGGAUGUACAAAAUAUUGAAUUAUUGAAAUUGGAGGUACCAUCUCGUUAGUCGAUCACUAAGAAUAGGUUUUGACAUCACGAACUUGAUGGGAUUUGCUUUAGAAACAAGACGGACAACAUGAGCUUGAAAGUUGUUUCAACUUUUGAAUUGAGAAGACUAGCGCCAAACACAACUUUUUAAUUCACAACAAAAAAACUCAUAUUAGCUAAGAAUGUCGUUGCUAAUCUAUAACUAAAAUGAUCGUAGCUAGCAGAAUUUCUCGAUAAUUUGUUGCUAAUUCGUAGCUAGAUGAGAUUACCAAGGGAUAUUCCUGUUUAGCUACAAAAUUUGUCUAUCACUAAAACCUGAAUUUUUAGUAGUGAUUGGCGAAUAGUUCAUCUAGUUUGGUGUCAUCACCUGCUCAAGUAGUAAAGAGAGUUUUCUUUCCCCACACUAUUUCUUCGGCCAACAGUGCUUCAACAGACCUUUCUUGAGUUACAAUGUAUAGUAUCGAUGGCUUUCCAGGUAUAUGAUCUGCUAAAACUGAAGACUUCAUCAAGUAGAUUUUGAUACAUUCAAAGGCAUUGCUACAAGCCUGGUCCCACUUUAAAGGAACGCCUUUCUUUAUGAGGCGACUAAAUGGUUGGAACCUCCUUGCUAGGUUCAAGAUGAAUCUUCUAAAGUAUGCUAGCUUUCCUUGCAGACAUUCAUGAAUAUCUCGAGGCUCAUGCAUUUUCAAAAUGGCAUCCACUUUGGUUUGAUCAAUUUCGAUCCCUCAAUGGCGUACAAUGAAACCAAGGAACUUUCAAAGUAACUCCAAAGGCAUAUUUCAAUGCAUACAUCCUAAGUUGGUACCUCUGGAGCAACUCAAAUACUACUCUCAAGUCUUUCAAGUGGUUUCCCUCUCUCUUGAUUUUACCACUAAGUCGUCAACAUAAGAUUUGACAUUCUUGUGGACAAGAUCGUCAAAAAUAUUCCACAUAGCCCUUUGGUAAGUAGCACUAGCGUUCUUCAAGCCAAAAUGCAUUACCUUGUAGCAAUAAAUACCCUUGGGGUGCGGAAUGCAGUAAGUCUUCAUCUUUUGGUUCCAUGCGAAUUUGGUUAUAUCCCGAUGAACCAUCCAUGGGAGACAUUUCCUCGUAACCAGUGGUAGCAUCGAUCAUCAACUCUAGUAUAGUAAGUGAGAAUUCAUCUUUGGGGAACACAUUGAUGAGAUCCCUGAAGUCAACAAAUACUCGAAUCUGGCCAUUCUUCUUCAUUAAAGGGACAAUACUUUAAACCCAUGUUGGGUAUUUAACUUCCCAAGUAAAUCCAGCUUCAAUGAGUUUCUUAACUUUGGUUUCAAUCAAGGGAACCAAGUCCGACAUAAAGCGCCUUUGAUUUUGCUUAAUAGGACGAGUGUUAUUCUUGACUGCAAGGUGAUGGACUGCUACCUUAGGGUCCACACCAGGCAUUUCUUUGUAACUCCAAGAAAAAACAUCCUAAACUCCUAGAGUAACUCAAUAUAAGUGAUUUCUUCAUCAACUUCUAGUAAAACACUUGGGUAGGUGGGUCCUGGUUCUUCACCAGCGCCAAGGUUAACUUCUUUUAAGGCGUCAAUCAUUGACUGCACCCUUUCUUUAGGUUUCGACGGAGCAUCUGCAUCUUCAUAUUCUUGAGAGUCCCCAUUAUUGAAGGAUAUGUGAUAAUAUGGUGAACAUCAUCCAAUUUCUCGUCAUCCUCAAUUAAAGAUGAAAUAUCGUGCUCGCCUUGUGCAUUAACAUGAUUACAAAAAACCAACACUUUCUUUGUCUUCAUCAUGUUCUUUAGUGUAGACCACAGUGUAUGGCUUCACCUUUAGAACCUCAUCACAUGAAACCAUGACUUUUGUUUGUUGCCUCAUUCUAUAAGAAACCAGACUCUGGAAAUCCUUAGAGAUAUUUUGAAUUUCGGGCAAAGUGGGUAUCCUUGUAUUUUGAUAAUUUCUCUGGAAAUUAUUCCCUUUCUUUAAAUGACCCAAUCUCUCAAACAUGGAAGUACUCACAGUUGUUCUCUAAGUCGAUCAAAGGCAUAAGGCUUGUUAGAAAGGACAUAUUUAUCUUCUACAAUGAUAUAAUUGGUGCUCGCUCUUCUUAUGGAGAUGCGCACUGGUGAUGGUUGCUUGUAUCCCAAACCUUCACGUGUUUGUAUUGUCACAAAUGUUGAUGGUAGCUUCCCUAACUUUGACAGAUCAUUAGGAUUGUGUCCAGAUUUUGCAAAUAGCCUAUAAAAUGUUAGGAUCAAAAUAUUCAUCUGUCCGCUUUAUAGGGAGUGCCAUAUUCUACAAAUGAUUUUAGGCCAAAAACCCUGCAAGCGGCAUUGAGGACUACUUUACUGCCUCAAUUCAUUUGACUGGAAGAGUUAACCCUAUUAGCAUGUUAGGUUGGAGAUUAGAUGAUUCACCUUUAUCUUUUUUUCUUUUUAGGGACGUAUUGGAGCGGAGGAGUUACUCUCUUGUCGUGAGACACAAUGUUCCCUUUAUGAGAAUUAUUUGGGUUAGGAAGUAACUUCACAGCAACAACUUUGGUUUUGUCGGCAACUACCUCAACCCUCUUAGCCAUGGGCUUGUCAUCCUUGUCAUUCAUGAUAUCAUAAAUUUUUAGCUCAUUCACUAUGCGGUUCUUCAAGUAGAACUUUGCAUCGGCGAAGUGUGACUCAGCCUCGAUGAUUGGCUCGUCAUUGGCAAUAUCUUCUUCUCGACUUCACCUUCAUAUUAUUUCAAACAUUGAUGUUAGGUAGAUGGAACUACUUUAUUCUCAUAUAUUCAAGUCCUUCCAAGCAAGGCAUUACAUGAAGUCUUUGCAUCGAUCACAUGCAGCCAUGCCCUUGAUUGCAUAUUUUAAUGGUGAUUCCCAGCCUGAUCGCGCCUAUAGCUCUUUUCCCCCAUUGGUUGAAUCUAUGGAUCAUCACAUGACUUUCUAAGAGUUUGUUCAUGGGAAUUCCAAGUUCUUUCACAAUACGAAUUGACAAAAUGUUCAUUAAGGAUUCUUUAUCAACCAAAAUUUGAUUUACCCUUUCAUCUACAUUUAGCCAACCAGGUACAAUAGGCGAUUAUGAAGAGUGUCACCUAGAAAAAGAUCGUCAUUUGUGAAUAUAAAGUUUCCCUCCCAAGCAUUAACUUCUUGAGGAGUGGACUCGGUGAGUUUCUCGAAGAUGGUGCCAAUGGUAUGUCAUUACUCUUCUUCCCAUUUGUCAACAUGGAAACAAAAGGCAUCAAUACCCCUAUGGGAAAUCUUCAUGUGGAACCAACUUGGUAAAAACUCCUCCAUGGUUACUGGAUGUCAUGGCUUUUGAGGGUGGUGCACCUCCACUUUUUCAGCAUUUUUAUGCUUAACUGGAUUUCAUAUCCUCGGUCUUUUCACCAUUAUUUUCCUUGUUGGUUGUUCCAUUUAUAAUUUUCAUAGGCUCCUUUUUUGGCGCCUGCGACAAGUAACCAACGUCCAACCUUCAUCAUAAUCAGGUUGAUCAUCUUCAACCUUGUUGUUCUUUAGUAAUUCUUCAUCUUUACUUUCUUUAAAACACAUAAUUCAUCUGGAAUGAAUGAGCCAAAGGUGAUAGAGACUUAGUUUGUGCUUGAUUUCUCAUCUUCAAGAACGAUCUUCUUUUCAUGAGCCAAGAUAAUAACUUUGUCCUUGAAGACAAAGCACUUCUCUAGGGGAUGGCUUAUAAGUAAAUGGUAUUUACAGUAAUUUGGGUCAUUCAUUUUACCAGCUUCAUUCAGUCGCUUCAUCUCCAAAAGCUCAAUAAGAUUUAACUCGAGGAGUUCUUCAAAAAGUAUUGGCAUAUCAAAAUCCAGAAAUGGAUACUCCUUCUCUUGAGUUUCAUUUAGAUCAACUUCACACUUGGUUUAUCUUGAAAAGAAGUGGAUUUCGUACUCUAAUUCUCUCUCACCUUCAUGGUGAACUUCACAGGUGAUAUGUUGACAUUCAUAGCUUCUUUGUAUUCGGACUUAAGUACAAACUUGAUCUAUUUCCUGACUUCUUCCGUGUUGUUCCCUUUGUGAGGCUCAAAGACAGGCAGUCGUUCGUUUCCAAUGGAGACCAUGCUUAACUCCUUAUGGCACGAGUCACAAGUUCUUCAAAUGUGCUAGGCUUGAUACCUUGCAAGAUGUAGCGAAGCCCCUAAUGCAUGCCUUGGUUGUAUAUCUCUAUGCCAGAAGUUUCACUAAGCCUCUCCUUGAAGUUGAGGCUCGCAUUCCUCCAUGAAUUGAUAAAGUCAAUAACUGGUUCACCCUUUCGUUGAUGAGUAUUUGUAAGUUCUAUCAUUAUCACAGUACGUCUCGUGCUAUAAAAGCAAUUGAGGAACUCUUCCUCUAGUUGAUCCCAGCUAUCAAUAGAUCCAGCCUCGAGGUCUGUGUACCAGUCAAAGGCAUUUACUUUUAGAGAGCGGAUAAACUACUUGACGAGAUAAUCUCCACAAGUCCUAACAUUGGUGCACGUCUCAACGAAGAGCGGCACAUGUUUCUUUGGAUUACCUUUCCACUAAACUGUUGAAACUUUGGAGGUUGAUAACCAGCAGGCAUCUUCAACAUAUCGACUCUUGCAGUGUACGCUUUUGCAUAUGUAAGGAAGGACUUGGUAGCAAAUUCAUACUAGUUCUUAAUGGUUCCCUCAAUGAACUAUUUCAAUUGAUCAAUUGGAAUCAUUCCUUGAGAUAAGACAGAGAUAGCCUUAGCGGAUGCUACUUGUCUUUGGGGAUAAUCACUCUUUGGAACUUCUAGGUGAUUGCUAGGUGCAUGGGUAGAUUCUUCUUCCAUCAUGAUUCACAUCCUAUCUUUUAGUUUGUCGAUUCUAGCAUCUUGAUUUUGCAUGCACUUGUUCAAGCCAGUGAUUGCUUCCAUCAAGUUUGCCAACUGCUCCUCCACAGAUGAAGUGUUUUUCACUAUGGCUUGCAUGAUUGUCGUGGACGAUGGAGAGUAGCAUGAAUUUUCACACAAAUUGACCCUAAUUAGCUCAAGCUAUGUGGUGUAAGUGGGGAGGAUCCAUUACUUGAAGCAUCAUCAUCUUCCUUCACAACAUAGUGCUUGGAUACAGAGAGGUCAAGCAGAGCAAGAGUUUUCUUGAUCUUUUUAGCAACAUCGAUUCUUCCUUCAGUGCGUUUGUGAAGAUCUUACUCCUUUUGAGGAUGAAAAUCUGAAAAAUAGGGGUUGAUAUGGACGUCACUUAGGGUGCUUGUUGUACUAACGAGCUUGCUUUACUCCUCGUCACUGGUCCAAAGCUUCCAAAAGUGACAUCGAGGAUGCUUUCCACAUCAUCAUAGAACCUAGAAUUAGCAGCCUUGGUGGAAGUGAAUUGGAGUUGAUUUUCUUUGAAGUCAUUUCAAUGUUCUUGAACUUUAGUGAUUAAAAAGUUGAGAUAAGAGGUAGAGAUUGUCCCACUGGGUGUGCCAGAAUUUGUAGACAACAAAUUUGCAUCAAGGAAAAAUAAUCACGAUCGAAAAUAUGACAAUAAUCAUAGUAUUUUAUUUCAAAUGUUUGAGUGUUACAAUCUUUAUGAAUCCUUUGGUUCUUCUUUCUAAUAAUAAAUAAAUUCAAAGAACCUUUGAGCAUGAUCUUGAAUAUGUAGUCGCUACGAACGAUCAUCUUGUUCUUGAGCUUUAGCUUGAAUGCUUGAACUUGACCUUGAUUUUGUUCUUCGUUCUUGAGCUUGAACUUGAUUUGUUCUUUGUUCUUGAGAUUGAACGGGAUUGCUUGAGCUUGAAACCUUGUGGAGGAAUUCGCAGUGUUUGAUCCAUGAACUCUCUCUUGCUUCUUAUUAUAAUUCUAGUGUCUUUUCUAGGUUAUGAAGACAUCUAUUUAUAUUUAUGGAAGGGAAGAGUGGUGAUAAGAACAAAUGUUUUCCGACCAAUUAGAUUGAAGCAUGACAAGGCCACAUUUGAUUGUCCAGACCAAGUCACUUGCACACGUGGCGUUAUUUCAUUAGCCUUUUAAUAUGAUCUUGGCAUGUCGUGUCAUUUUAACACGUGGCAUGAUCCUAUGGCUCUACCGUCUGACUUGGUGAUCCAUGUCAUUUGACACGUGGAACCAAACUGGGCCUCUAGGAAGAUGAUAUCUUAGGCCUAAUAAAGUGGGCUCAUCACUUGUAACCCUAUCAAAUGGGUUAGUCCAAUGGAUUAAGACUUAUUUAUUUAAUCCAUAUAUUUUGAAUUUAUAUAAUUAAUUCAAUUAUUCUAGCCCAUAAUAUUUAUUUGGACUAGUACAUUUAUUGUAUAGCCCAAACUAUCUAUUGAAUUUAAAUUCAUACAUGCUAGUUUCAUUCAAAUAAAAGGGAUAAGGAAUACCGUGUGAGGAAAUGUCCCCGAAAAAUGAAGCUGCAUCGGUUUCUCCUAGGAAUUAGAGAACAUUCAACCAAUUACCCACCAUAAAUAUUUCUUCCUUUAAUCAUAUACUGUAUUUCAAAAUCUGACCACGGUGGUCGACCUAACUAGGAUUUCGCCCAAGCGGCGGUACAGUAAAAGACGUCAUGAUUCGCUCCAAACCACGUACCCAUGGUAUUUGCUACGAUUAAGAAUCACACUCAAAGAUUGAUGAUGCUAAUGGUCGUGGUACCGAAAUGCAUCCGUCCAAGAAUACAUCAGACUCUAUGGCUAUAUAUAGAGGGGUUUUUUCUGACACUGGGUAAUCUUUGGGGUAGAAAAAGGUUUUUGAGAUCUUUUUGGGGAAAAGAACUGAUCCCUCAAAUAUGAUGUAAAUAAUACUCUCCAUCGAUUGGCGGAAGGAAGAGUUUCAAUAAGACUGAUUUCCCCUACUUUACCUCAUUCCAUUUUGUCUUCUUUAUUGAUAGAUCUGGAACUUAUUAUGCUUGACUAGGAUUUACCUCUUCAUCUUCAUUUAUUGAUUUAAUCAAAAGGGUAUUAAUAUCUUUUGGUCAAAUUUUGACGCUGUCUAUGUAGAUUUCUUAGUCAAAGUUCAUAGUCUCCUUCAGAUCAAGACUCGGAUACAUAGUCACUCACCAAAAAGAAUGGUAAAUGAACCUCACAUGCAAAUCCAGAGCACAAUGCUGCAAAGAAAUAGAAGUCACAAUCAAAUCUCCGCGCAAAGCUUACAAGAGAGGACAACGCUCAGCACGCAAAUCCCAUAAAGGAAUGGGAAUGUCUUACAUAAUAACUAACGCAUCAAAUGUUCUAAUGACCUAACCCAUGCAAAGCCAAGGCAUGCAAUAAAAGGGGGAAGGCUGAUUACGGCCGCAGAUUCCGCAAGCCAUCAUAUCAUCAACCACCUAAAAGUUAGGAAAAGCGAAAUACAUCAUAAAGUUGUCCUCGCCCAUUGGUUCAUCGGAUCAAGGUAAGGAAGAGUUCAUCUCGACUCACCUUAUGUUGCUUUCUUGAAUAGGGACAUAAGCAUCGCAUAGCGAGCGAUAAAAGAAGCACUUCGGCAAAAGAAUAGAAACAUUAACAAUAAAUAACCCAAACAUUGCCAUUUUCAUACACCACAGCUCCUAGGUUGAGACGUCCCCCAAGUGAUGCUCCUACCUACCAGGUGCAUCCUAAUUGGGAUCUCCCCGAGGAAAUAUUGAGCGAUAAAGGAGACAUCACCAAGUCGAAGGGGCUGAACAAGGAAAUUCUAAUAUAUACAUAAGAUAUAUGUUGGCAAAAUAAUAGCAUUUAAUACUCUUUGGCACUGCAUCCUCUAGAUCAGAGAAGACUGGGACUAACGACGGAUUAACAUUUCGGCCUAAAUAACGCCCUUAAGGCCUAGGGCCAUCGCCAAAUAGAAGAGUUCGACCUCGAUCGAACAACGAUGAGUUUUUUGACAAAAUCUCGAAAUAACACCCUUAAGGCCAAGGCCUAUCAUCAAAAAGAAGAGUUCGACCUCGAUCGAACAACGAUGGGUUAAUAUUUCGAUGAAAGCUUGAAAUAACGCCCUUAUGGCCAAGGGCCAUUGCCAAAGAGAAGAUUUCGGGCUUGAUCGAACAACAACGGGUCAAUAUUUCAAUGAAAGCUCUAAAUAACACCAUAAAGGCCAAGGGCCAUCACCAAAGAGAAUAGUUCGACCUCGAUCAAAUAACGACGGGUUAAUAUUUCGACAAAAGCUCUAAAUAACACCCUUAAGGCCAAGGGUCAUCGUCAAAGAGAACAGUUCAACCUUGAUUGAACAACGAUGGGUUAAUAUUUUGACGAAAGCUCAAAAAAAUACCAUUAAUGCCAAGGGUUAUCGCCAAAGAGAAUAGUUCAACCUCGACCGAACAACGACGGGUUACUAUUUCGACGGAAGCUCAAAAUAGCACCCUUAAGGCCAAGGGCCAUCACCAAAGACAAGAUUCGACCUUGAUCAAACAAUGGCAUGUUAAUAUUUCGAUGAAAGCUCGAAAUAACAACCUAAAGCCCAAGGGUCAUCGCCAAAGAGAUGAGUUCGACCUCGGUUGGACAAUGACAGGUUAAUAUUUUGUCGAAAGCUCGAAAUAACACCCUUAGGGCCAAGGGACAUCGCCAAAGAGAAGAGUUUGACCUCGAUCGAACAACAACGGGUUAACAUUGUCGAUGAAAGUUCGAAACAAUAUCGUAUGCAUAAAUGCCGCGACCAUAGAGGACUGGGACGAAUAACAGGUUAACAUUUCGAUGAAAAUUCAAAAUAAUACCCAUAAGGCUAAAAGCCACCGCCAGAAAGGACUGGGACUCGUGAGAGGUUAACAUUUUGAUGAAAGUUUGAAAUGAUUCCCUUAAGGCUAAGAGACAUUGCUAAAGAGAAGAUUUCGACCUUGAUCGAAUAAUGAAAGGUUAAUAUUUUGACGAAAGCUUGAAAUAACACCCUUAAGUCCAAGGGCCAUCGCCAAAGAGAAGAGUUCGACCUCGAUUAGACAAUGACGGGUUAAUAUUUCAAUAAAAGCUCGAAAUAACUCCCUUAAGGCCAAGGGCCAUCACCAAAGAGAAGAGUUCGACCUCGAUCGAUCAAUGACAAGUUAAUAUUUCAACGAUAGAUUGAAAUAGCACCCUUAAGGCCAAGGUCAAUCGUCAAAGAGAAGAGUUUGACCUCGAUCGAACAACGAUGUGUUAAUAUUUUGAUGAAAUCUCGAAAUAAUAUCUUUACGGCUAAGGGCUAUAGUCAAAGAGUCCGACCUCAAUCGAAGAGGGACAGGUUAAUAUUUCGACGAAACUCUAAAUAACACCCUUAAGGCCAAGGGUCAUCUCAAAAGAGAAGAGUUCAACCUCGAUCGAACAACGGCCAAGGGCCAUCGCCAAAGAGAAUAUUUCAACCUCAAUCGAACAACAACGGGUUAACAUUUCAAUGAAAGUUUGAAACAAUAUCCGUAUGCAUAAAAGCCGCCACCAGAGAGGUCUGGGAUGGAUAACAGGUUAACAUUUCGAUGAAAAUUCAAAAUAAUAACCAUACGGUUAAAAGCCACCCCUAGAAAGGACUGGGACUCGUGGCAGGUUAAUAUUUUGAUGAAAGUUCAAAACGAUUCCCUUAAAGCUAAGAGCCAUUGCCAAAAAAGAUCGAGACAUGCAAUGAGAAGAUAUUUCAAUAUAAUCUAGAAAAGUAACGUCCCUACAGCUAAGGUUAGUACUAGAGGAAAGAGUUUGAUGCCGCUCGAAUUAUGAUGGGAUAGUACUUCGAUAUAUGUUCGAGGAUAUCAUCCUAUAGUUGAAGUCGUUAUUGAUAUCCUGCUUAAUCUAUGCGGUAUUAAAUUAUCAGAGAAUCGGGAAUCCACCGCACAAGAAUCUAUUUCUAUGCACCAAAGCUAUGAAAAAUAAAAACUCUAUAGAGAACAUGAGACAUACAGCAAUGAAAAUUUUCUUUUUAUACAAAGCUACUGUCCAAACAGCUGCAAAUUACACAAGGAUCAAACCAAUAGAGUCCAUAAAAAAUAACAACAAAGACACCAACUCUUUCACUCGGUAUCAUCACCCACAUACUCUUCUCCAUCAUCUCCAGGAAGUCCUCUUUCAUCAUCAGCACCCUCAUCGCUCUUCGAUAUUGCGGGGUCAUAUACGCAAUUAACACGAGUUGCUCCUUCAUAUGUGGCCUCAUGAACAUUGCCUGCCUCCCACAAACUCUUGUAUAUGUCCCGUUGGGCUUUGACAUGAACCCAAAGCUCAUGCAAAUAAUGGGGAACGGAGCAAAGAAAUACUCUACUUGAUCCAACAGUUGCUCUUUCUCAGUCUAGAGAGCAGCGACUCGAUCACCCAAGGUCGACGCUUCCCGGUCGAUCUCACCAGUACGCUCCUCGAGCUUUUCUUCCCUUAAUAUGGUUGUCGCCCUCUCUGAUUGCUGCUCGAAUUGUAGGAUGCAAAUAAUAUUCUCUAAUGUCAUCGCCCUUUCCAAAUCCAACGUCCAAGCUCCCUCGAUGUCCUCUAGUCCGGCGACCUUUCUCUCCAACUCAGUCAACUUUCCCAUCCACUUUUCGCUCAUUGUCUCGACCCUGAUAAGAUUUUAAUCUAUUUCAGAUUGCAUCGAUCUCAGCUUCUCUUGAAGAUAUUUUCACUUUGCAGUGACCCCUUUUCCCAACUUAAUCUCUUCGUCCUUUACCCAAAGUUGCUCAUCGAGUAUGCUACUUUGCGAAUAGCAUCCAUCAAUUGCUGGUCCCUCUUCUCCAGUUCCUCGCCAAGGAAUUGAUUAUCGAGGUUCGCCUACAGCCGCUCGUGCAUACGUCACUUAUUGUGAUAGAGCAGAUAUCUCUCCAGCAUCGUCAGGAAAAUAUUGGCCCGAGUGUCGGCCUUACGAGCGCUUUCAAUCUCCACCAUGUACAUAUGAAAAACAAAAAGACAAGCUAAGGCCAGAUCGCUAAGGAAAACGAAAGGAACACGAAAGAAAAGUAAAACGUACCCUCAAGCCCAUAGCGGCCAAUUCGUGCAUCAAAUCGAUAUCACGGACAUCCCGAAGAGCCUGACUCUCGGCAGCAGAACACAGAAGGUCAAAUUGCGGCAUCAGGUCCACCAUAUCUGCCAGGAUAUUAAUAUCUAAUGAGAUUUCAAGUACACUAGAAGGACCUCCCGCGUGUACUACCGUACGAGUAAAACCCUCCUCAAACAUCCUGACAUCAUCAGGGUCAAGAUUAGACUCAGAAUCAUAGCCAUCGACCACAACACCCUUUCCCUUUUUGUGGCGAGGAGGAAGCACGACCCGACACGAAAGAUGAAGGUCCGUCCAAAAUAAUAACAGCCUCAAGAUUUUGAGCCCCCAUCCUAGCAGGCUGUUGAUUGGACGCAAUAGCCACAAUCUUCGAUGAAAGGGUUAGAACAAUUGUUGGCUCAGUAACUGCAGACGGAGUAGCAUUGAUUCCUGUCUCAGAACCCGUCGGAGGGAAAUCACCUUCCGAACAUAUCAUGGCCGAGGGAGCUACUUUAGAUUCUACUUGUUGCCUCUUUGGUGGCCCUUCUCCAUCCUGAGUACAGGAAGACUUUCCUACCAGGUAGGCAGUAUGGGUAAGAAUAUCAGACCGAGGGGCAACCUCCGUGCGUAUGCAUGUGGCUGUAGACUCAACAGAAGCGGCCUUUGACGAAGGUCGAGUAGCGAACUGUGAGACAGGGCAGGCGGGUGAUACAGGCUAGCAAAAUGCAAGAGGAGGAGCCCUUGCCCUCCGCACUCUCCUUGGCAUCAACAAAUACCACAUAAACUACAAAGUCAAAGAAAAAGAAAAAGAAAAGGAUAAUGGGAAACAAAACUGACGUUACUCACCAGUAAGGGGCUUACAUCCAUAUCUCUCAUAGAAGGACGACCAGGUGCGAAUUCCCACUGUACAAGGAAGGAUGUGGUUCACCCACUCACAAAUAUCGUCAGCGGGCGCAAGGGGUAGCUUUGCGGAUGUAAGUACAAAAAUAACUAUAACUAUCGACCAAAAAUAAGUGGUCGACCAACAUUCCAACUAGAGAUAUAAAGACUUACGUGCAAAAUUUCAUUUCUCGAGGAAUCCCGUAGGAUCUGCCACAAGGUGCUUGGCCCGCACAUAGAAUUAAUUCUCAUAGAAAUGGUGGUUAGCUUUGUCAUCCAUUUUCACCACCAAGCGUUUCUCCCUUCGGUGGCGCAUGUGAAUCAUUGUGCCACGGAUUGGUUGAGGAGAGAAGAUAUUGAAAUGUGUCUCAAAGUGAUAUCCCGACUAGCAAGCUCCGCAAACUUGAGCAACAUGAGGAACCGUUUAUAUAGGUACGGCAAGAGUUGAGCUGGGCUCAUAAAAGCGGCAAAAAUCUACCACCAAGACAGGAAGAGGGAGCAUAUACCCCAUGAUAAAGGGAUAGGCGUAGAACGCGUAGUACCCUGGGCGGUCAAAGUGGACUAUGUCGUCCCCCAUCGCCGGCAGUAUUUCGACGUGGCGAGGAAUUCCUCACCUGGCCUUCAAAUCUGCAAUCCCCUCCCCGUUCACAACAAAAGAAGUAGGUUCUGGCUCCUCCUUUGUGAGACAGUAAAUAUCAUUCCAUGGUUUCCCUGGGAGAGGCGAGAUCUCAGCCACCGUCAGGACCCCCUCACUUCCACCACUUUUGCCCCUACGGUAGUAGGAAUAUUGCUUUCCGGCACGGGAGUUGUGGCAGGAUGAUCAAUACGAGAAUAAUUACCAGCCAUUUGUAUCAAUUUGACUAAACAAAGGGAUAUAAGAAAGAGGAAUAAACAAGGCAAACGUUCUUGACUAGCCAGAGAAAAUCAAAAAUCUGAAAUAUCAAGAGAAGAGAAGACUUACAAUUUCUUUCGAAUAAAGGCAGAGAAGUGUGUCAAUUGAAUAGUACCUUCCUUCUAUUUAUAAGAAAUAAGAUUCUCUGAGCGUGAGACCCAAGAGUCACAAUCGAAGUUGAUAGGCACGAAACAGUUCAAUCCUCUAGGAAUGUGUGUCAUAAUGGUGGUAACCACAAUAGACAUUUCAAGUCAAACCAUGCUUCAGUUCUGAAACAGCCGCAACAGUCUAAGCGUAUCUCAAGAGCAUCAUUGCAUUCACUUGAAUCGAAAAUCAUACUCAAAGGGUAGAUAGUCAGGUUUCUCUUAGAUGUGUAAAAAUCAUAAUCCGUCUACCGGGCCUGACAGGAAACGACCCCGGCAGACGGAGGAAAUAACUGUAUUGGUCAAAAUCUAACCACGGUGGUCGACCCAGCUGGAAUUUUGCCCAAGCAGCGGUAAAGUAAAAGACGCCAUGAUUCGCUCCAAACCACGUAACCCUGGUAUUUGCUACGAUUAAGAAUCACACUCAGAGAUUGACGAUGAUAACAGUCGUGGUACCGAAAUGCAUCCAUCCAAGAAUAUAGUAGACUCCAUGGCUAUAUAUAGAGGGGGAUUUUUCUAUUUUCCGACUCUGAGUAAUCUUUGGGGUAGAAAAAAAAGGUUUUAAGAUGUUUUUGGGAAAAAAAACUGAUCCCUCAAAUAUGAUGUAAAUGAUACUCUCCAUCAAUGUGUGGAAGGAAACAAUUUCAAUAAGAGUGAUUACCCCUAUUUUACCUCAUUCCAUUUUAUUUGCUUUAUUGAUAGAUUUGGAACUUAUUAUGUUUGAUUAAGAUUUACCUCUUCAUUUUCAUAUAUUUAUUUAAUCAAUAUCUUUUGGUCAAACAUAUACUUCUUGUUGUAAUAUUACGUUAAUUAGUAUUUUUUUAAGGCAAAUAACGACUGAAUUAUUUUCUUUUAAUUUUCAUGUAAAUAAAUUUGAGGUUGUUCUUAAUCUUUCCAGGAAACUGAUUUGAUCACAGUUUGUAAUUUGUUUAGUAGCCUAGUUAACAAGUACCAUGGUGUGUGCUCCUAUAAAUUUUCUGUACUCUAUAUAUGAGAAUUUAAUUUAUUAAGACUUCAAAGCAAUGCUUAGAUUAAGGUUGUUAUCAAGAGGAUUUAAGAUAUUUUUCAGCAUAUAUGCUGAAAAAUAUCUUAAAUCCUCUUGAUAACAACCUUAAUCUAAGCAUUGCUUUGAAGUCUUAAUAAAUUAAAUUCUCAUAUAUAGAGUACAGAAAAUUUAUAGGAGCACACACCAUGGUACUUGUUAACUAGGCUACUAAACAAAUUACAAACUGUGAUCAAAUCAGUUUCCUGGAAAGAUUAAGAACAACCUCAAAUUUAUUUACAUGAAAAUUAAAAGAAAAUAAUUCAGUCGUUAUUUGCCUUAAAAAAAUACUAAUUAACGUAAUAUUACAACAAGAAGUAUAUGUUUGACCAAAAUUAUUAUAUUUGCUCUGUUAGUACAUCAAAUUGGGACUAAGUGCAUCAGCCAUCUUAUUAGACCUGUCAUAUGUCAUUUGUAUAGGAAUUUUUCUUUAACCAAGUAUUUACGGUAAACCCUUAUGACCGGUCCUUCCUUGAAUUUCGUAUAUAAUAGGAACUUAAUGUCUACCGAACUGCCCCCUACAUACAUGUGGGGCUUUGGCGAUAAUGUAUCAUAAGUUCCUAUCAACAAAAUUGGUUCAUCAAUCAAAUUAAGGAGUAGAUUUACAGCCCAUUUUUCAAAUAAAUUAAGUGUUUAUUUUUAUUUCUUUUUGGCCGAAGAGUAGACAGUUGAAUGGAACUUUCACAAGGAGCGGUUUUACUAUGCCUGAAUAGGAGCUGUACACAAGAAGUAGCCUCUUUAAUUUGUUGGUUUCCUUUUGUCCUCCAAUAUGAUAAAAAUAGGGUUUAAGGCUUCUCCUCUUCCAGUUCGUAUAAACUUAGUUUCUUUGGGAAUACUUUAUUAGGAAGAUUCAGGAUGCUGAAAUUCCUUUAAUAAAAAGUGCAUAGAGAUGGAACAUAUGGUUCAAAUAAAUUCUUUGUUUCUUGCAUAUGGUAUUCAUUAAGUUUGAGUCCAUAUAAGAGGCAAUGUGUUAUAAGAAAGAUUCCUGCUGACAAUAGUUGUAAUCUUGGAAUUACAACUUAGUAGUGAAGUGCCAUGUGGUUGAUUAUUUUGUCAUUUUCUAUACAAACAUCCUGUUCUGACACUAGAAAUGCUCUUCAAAUUACCCAAGGCUCGAGCAACAAAAUGCCUCUUUGUAACAUUUGUUUUUUCCUUCAAGUUUCAGAUUGGAAAGAUGAAUUUUUGUAGUAUACUUAUAUUUUAGAAUUAUUAUAUCAGUAGAAGGGAAUAGUUUCAGACACUAUGAAAGCACAAAUAUGCAUAAAUUUCCUCCAAUUAAGGUCUGGUCAUCCUCAUGAUCUCUUACUCACAUUUGUCAUUUUCUUCGUAAAAUAACCUUUGUAAUUUUGAGAAGCACACAAAUAGAUGAACAUCCACUUCUUUAUGUUCUCUUAAACUCCAAACCCAUUUGCCUCUAUCUCUUACCCCCUCUCCAUGAAAUGAAUACACAUGAUGUUAAAAGAUUUAACUCCUGUUUGGCCAUAAAUUAAUUUGGGAGUUUUUCUUUUCCCAAAUUUUAUUUCAAAUAUUUAUUUGUUUAUAGAUUAGUUUUUUACAAUUUUGAAAACAAAUUUUUUAAAUCCGAAAAACAGUUCUAGAGGAGUUUUUGAACCUUUUGAAAUUUUCUAUAAACAAAAUUUCAAACUUUUUCAAGUAAAACGUAUGUCCAAACACAACUUUCAAAAAUCAUUUUCAUCUCAUUUUAAAAAUCUCAUUUUUUUAAUUUUAAACCAAAUCUAUAUCCAAACGGUAGCUAAAUAUCGGUGUCAAAAUUCACAUGGAGAUAUCGUGAAGUAGGUGAUUCUUGUUAACAAAUAUUAUGAUAACAGAAAAAUACCCGAACAAAUAGUACUUACUACUGUAUAGUAAUAUUACCUUUGUAAAUUGUAGUACUACAAAUUAAAAGACUCAACAAAAUGCAUUCUAAUCAGAAACAAGUACCUCAAGAUCUCACUUAGAAUCAUAUCCCAUUCAUAGAGUCAGAUCCAGAGUACUUGCCCCUCUUCUUGCAUUUUCCUUUGUAGCAUAAUUAGCCUCUUCUUUCAAUCUUGAACUAGACAUUGACAAUGAUAAAGUACUCUCGUCGUCGUCGUUGUCGCGGCUGUUAUUUUUUUGCUUUACUCCUAGAGAUAAAUUCAGGUCAAUUAGGUCACAAUCUAUAGCCUUCCUUUUCAAAAGACUCAGUCUUGCUUUAGCUUUUGCAGCUCUCUGGAAUAAUGGAGCCAGCUUAUCAAUAGGACUUUUUCUAAAUAGACCUUGACCAUAUUUUUGUUCACGAAAUAAUCCCAUAUCGUAUUUCAUUUCAUUUGUUCUCCAAGUAGAUAUUUCACUGAUGAAAGAAGGAAUUCCAGUAAUGGAAUCUUGAUGUUGCCGCACUAUUAUUGCUGCCAAAAAUCCUCUCACUGAGUUUAGUGUAAAAUUCUGCUCUGACAUUCAUGUCAAUUGUGCUUUGUGGAAAAUUUCUAGAAGCAUCUCCAUAUCUGGGGAAAUGAGUAAAAAUCUCUCAUAAGUUUGGAAUGAGACAAACAUAAAUAGUGCGACAUAGACACUAAAAAUUCAUAUAGUCAAUUGGCUACUAUUUGCUUGGAAUUGAGGCGUAAUUGUUGUUAUUGUACCCGUUAGAAAGCAAAAGGAAAGAUAAGAAGCCUAUAAUGAGCAUAAUAAAUUUGCAUAAAUUGGACCUUUGAAUAAAGGUUGGGAGGAUAGGGAGUUCACUCAUGUUGUAAAUGUUUGGAUCUUCACCUUCCAUAAAAGGCCUAUAAUUUGCUAUACCUGUCAUGAGGUAAGGAAAUGAAAUUAGUGAAUUUAUUAACCCUAAAUUUAUAAAUUAAAAAGAGAAAAUAUAAAAGCAUACCUUGAGUUGGGUCACCAGUCUUCUUGCUUCUACACAUCUAUGGAAACAAACCAAGAUAAGAAAACAUACAACAAGUAAUUAAUCAGAAAAAAGGAUCAGCAGUUAUAUAUAGGCUAUUAGAUUCAAUGAGAAUAACCUCACAUCUAUUUCUUGAUUUUAUAUGAAUCACGAAAUCUCUUAAAUACUUGGUUUUGUUCUAACUAGGCACCUAAAUGUACCUGCAAAUGGCUCUUGACAUGAGCAAUGUUGAGUCCUUUUAUGUUCAUCAAUUGAAGAACUAAUUUGGGUGUUGCUCCUGCACCAAAAUGAAAAGAAAAAAAAAAGAAGACAUAAACAUUUAAACAAAGGUGAAUUACAAGAGAUCAAUUAGCUGAUAGAAACUCAAAAAGUGAUCGCUUUGCCCUUUUUAGUAGAUUAGUGGUUACCUGUAGCUGAUGGCUAAAGCAAAAACACUCAAGGAACAAUGAAUAAAUUGUAGGAACUCACUAUCUUGUCCGCCAAGUCUUUCCACAGCCUGAACAAAACGGCGAUGGAGAUCAGUUGUCCAUCGAAGUCUAACCAUCUUGGAUCGAACAUAAGGCCUCACAGGGAGCUUCUUCUCUCCCUCUUCAGCAGUACUGUUGCUUGAACUUCCUCCAUCCUAAGGUAAUUCGAUCGAGCUGUUAUCGCCCUCGUCUGAAUAAUUAGGGCUUGUCUUGGAACAUACAGUGUCAUCACUAUCGUCCAUCAUUCCUGGUAAUAGCUCUAGUCUAGCUUCUCUUUUUAGCUUGUCCUAGAAUCACAAAUAGGGAAGAAAGAAAGAAAAAAGCAAAUGAUGUUUUUAGCAUCGCCUAUGAUCAAUAACUUAGGUCCUCUUGUAAACUGCAGAACUUUACUUGUUCUUCUUUCUAUUUGAGGUGGUCUGUACUGUACAAGAAAAUUAUUCUACGUAGAAAAAAUGGGGAAAUCCAACCCUGGACUUCACCUGGAAGAUGGAAUACGUCCCUCUCUCUCCAAUUAUUUAUCUAACUCUUCAUGCAUACAAAUAUAUAGUAAACGCAACCACUUGGAUGAUGUAAUAAGGACACAAUAUUUAAUAUAAUUUUUUAAUACAUAUAUAACAUGAGCAAAUACAACUGAAUUCAUGUGCUAUAUAUUUCAUGCUAGAUCAUAUAAAAAAUCUUGAAGAAAAAUAAAAAAGGGAAGAAAAAUAUAUGAAGCUGAUCAUGUGAGACCAGCUCUUCUUUGUACAGCUUCUGUAGAAAAGCGGCUCGGUCUCUGUUUGAUAUGAUCCAAAAUGUCUUCCCUAAAUCAUUUUUCUAUUCUGUGGUUGUUGAAAAUAUUUCCAACCAAUUUGCGGGAAUAAUUCAUUUUUCAAUAUGACUAUUUUUACCAUCUUCACUCUUACUCCACAAAACUUUCUUAAACAUACGUAAAUAUUACUAAUGUUUAAUACUAAUAAAUUAUCACCGAAACACUAUCUCCAUGCCACGUGACAACACAUUCUACUAUUAGUAUAAGGGGUCGUUUGGUAGAAGGUAUUAGAAAAAAUUAUGCAACCACUAAUUCUAUGCAUUAGUAAUACCUUGUUUAGUACAAUUUUUAAUUUGUGUAUAACUAACAUACUUGAUAUUAUCCCUAUGCAUAAGUAAUGCAUAGAAAAUCAUGGCAUUAGUAAUGCAUGUAUUAGUAUGGUUAAAGAUAAAAUUAUCCUUAAAGUCUCUUAAAGCUUGAUAAUAUGGAGAGUAUUUUUGUAAACAACUAUUUUUCUUAAAAUUUAUGCAAAUGCACUAUAAUUUUAAUAUACCACACCAAACGGUAGAUAAGAAGUAAUAUCUGCAUAACUAAUGUUUGCAUUUCUAACUCAUGCAUUAUUAAUCCAUGUAUUACUAAUACACCUUAUUCCGCUCACCUUAAUAACUCAGGGAACACUGAAAAAUGUACAAAAUGGUUUUGGAAGAAAAAUCAUGUUCGUACGAAAAUAUUUUCGGAUAUCACUCCAUAGCACUUUAAGUUAACCUAUAUAUAAUAUAGCAAUAGUAGAUACUCCGAGCAGUUGGUGCAUAAUGUAGUUUGUAUUUACGUAAAAUUUGGGAAAAAGUUGCAUAUAAGUAUCACUUGCUAAUUUCACAGCUUGAACCGACCAUGAACUAUAAUAUAAUAUACAUUAUGUAUUUCAUCAAAAUUCUGAAACAAGUACUGAGUCAAUUUUGUGGACUACUUCAACAUAACUCUCCACCCAUUUCUGAAGCAGUACAAAGGCCAAUAAAACUUUAAAAUACUCUUGUUUAUUGAUUAAAUUUAAUUAUGUUCUGAGUGAAAAUUUUAUUACUCUUUGUCGCUUUAGGAGUAAUUUAAUUUUGUACUUCAUAUAAUUAACACUAAUUGUGUGAGGUCACGUUUUAUCUCACAUAUUUGUGAACUAGUAUCAUACACAUUUAGAUUCACAGAAUUCUGGAACCCAUACAGUAACAAGUCUUGGGACCACCCUAACGAAGAUUAGCAAUUUUCGAUUUUAGUAUAACAUCAUUAUGAAAAGAUUCCAACAUAAACAUUGCAGCUUUUAUUUAGUUUCCAUAAUCUUCCUCUUUCACACAUUCACAUUGUUACGUAGGAAAUUUUCUCGUGGACAUUUGUCUCAUUUGGCCCAUCCAAUUUAGUUUAAUUAUUGAGCAAUCUAGCAUGACAAAUAUAUAUAAUUACAUAUAACUAACAAAAUUUCCGCAUUUUCCAAGUUAAAGAAAAUGAUUAUUCGUUCAAACCGAUUGAGUCAAAAUCUAUGUUUUCAAUGUAAAGUGGAACUAUCUUUUCUCAUGCUCACGGUGCAUGUUAGUUAACAUACCUCUAGCCCUAGCUACCUUUGUAAGCUCGAUGGGAACACGUAACCCAUCACUGACGGAGAAAAUGAAACAAAAGAUAACUACACCGACCUUCAUCCCCAAUUUAGAUUCAGUUACUAGCAGAAGCACACUAUUAGAAAUUCGAUUAAGACCGAUCAAUUUUGAUCGGUAAAAAGAACAGCCAAAAACCGAUCAAUUUUAAUCGGUAAAACGAACAGCCAAAAAUCGAUCAAAAUUGGUUGAUUUUUCAAAAUAUUUUAAUUUUUAUUUUUUUUAAACGAAAUCGACCAACUUUGGUCAGUUUUCUUUGGCACAAAAAUACGAAAAACAAUUUUUGAGUCCGGAAAAAAUUAUUUUUUAAGAAAUCAACUAACUUUGGUUAGUUUUGCAAUUAAAAAAAUAAAAUUAAUAUUAAAAAAUCGACCAACUUUGGUCGGUAAAUUAGGCCGGUCAUUUUUAAAAAUUGAGCAACUUUAGUCGGUAAUUUUAUUUUUUAAUAAAACAAGCCAACUUUGAUCGGUUAUUUUCGUGCGAAAAUAUAAUUAAAGAGUAUAAAUAAAUAAAAAGACAAUCUUAAAAUAAAAUGCACCAAUGAUCUAGUGGUAGAAUAGUAUCCUGCCACAGUAUACACCACAGUCCGUUUCCCAAACGGUGAAUCUUUUGAUUACAUAACUAAAAUACCGGCCAACUUUAGUUGGUCGUAUUUUGGUCGGUAAUUGGCCAUAACCGAUCAAAAUUGGUCAAUUUUUUUGGUCGGUAUUUACCGGAUUUCUAGUAGUGGUACUGUAUAUGAAAUUGGCUCUUCAUCAAAAAGCUCUGGUAUCUCAAAAAGGUUAGAUCUGAACAUUUCAGUGGCAAUUAGUCAGUUAGCCCUUCCCCCCGGACGCCAGCUAAUGGAACAAUGAAUCAAGCUCAAAAAUGAUAAGUAACCAAUGGAGUUUGGAGAAAUCAACAGUGGCAAAGGUAGUGAAUGCUAAUGAACCUACCAUACCUAAAGCAUCGUGGACAACUCUAUUUCAAGAGAAUAGGUUUGCCACCAAUGGUACGUCAAUUUUCUAUAUGCCCCUACAAAUUAUUGAUGGUUGACGUGUGGUUCAAUUAGAUAAGCUAGAAGUAGAAGAGGAGGAGAAUAAGUGGAGAUGUGCACUGAUAGCAUACAUCACAGGUGAUGGCCCAGGUUACAAUGCAAUAAAACGAUACAUCAGGUUGCAUUGGGCGCAUGUUGCUGAGCCUGAACUGUUCUAUCACGAUGAAGGCUAUUAUAUCAUCAAAUUUCAGUCUGCAGCAGAUGCACAAGAGAUACUAUAUGUUGGACCUUAUUCUACUGCUAACAAGCCCAUCAUCCUAAAACAUGGACUCCAUAUUUUGAUUUCACGGUGGAAUUCCAUACUGUUAUGUCGCGACGGGUAAAGUUUCCUGAACUACAUAUGUCGUGCUAGGGAGAUAGUUCUUUAAACAAGAUUGCUAGUGUAAUUAGGACCUACGUCUUUGUUGAUGAGUGCACUACUAAGCUGACUCAAGUAUCCUAUGCUCGAAUGCUUAUUAAAAUUAUUGUAACCAAAGAAUUGCCCACUGAGAUCAUGGUUACAGACCCUUAUGUAAAGAAGUUUCAACAGUCUAUAACUAUGUAGAAACUUGCUUGCUAUGAUAAAUGUUUGGUUGUGGGAUAUAAAUGUGCUACUCAAGCAUACCCUAUUAUAAAACAACCAAAUCAAAUAAGGAGGGCAAGAGGUAAAAAGGUUGUUACAGAAGAGUGGAGAACCAAAGGGCCUAUACAUGUUGCAACUAAGCCUAAAAACGCAAUACAAACUGCACAUGUUGAACCAAAACUAGAGAGUAACAAUGUGAAAGUUGCAUAUCAAACAUGAGUAACAAGGAUAGCUGAUCCUAGGGGGACUUAAAAGCUAUCUCAAUAAAACACAGCCUUAUUUGUAACUGCAGAGAAGAAGCAAGAUGACAGAGGCAAAGCUAACGCUGAACUUAACUUCACCAACUUCCUAGUUUUGACCCAUCACUUAGUGAAGAAUAGAUUUGAAGUUGUGUCAACAAGUAGAUAUGAGGAUCAAAUACUAUCCAGGAAUAGAUGUGGAAGUACCAUACUCCUAUAAUGAAUUGGUUGUUCUAGAACAUUAGAGGUGUAAAUAAAAGGUAUAAGCAAAAUAAGGUAAGAGAGUAUAUUAGAGUAAAUAAAAUUAAGUGGUAGGACUCAUAUAAACUAAAGUGAAGGAACAGAAUGCUCCAAAGAUUGCAAAAGCUAUUGCACCUGGUUGGAACGUGCCAACAAACUACCAAGCUACACUCAAUGGCAGAUUUUGGAUACUAGGGGAUGCCACUAGCUUACUGGUUAAUGGUAUUAACUAUAAAGCUCAAAUGAUACACUGUCAGGUAAAAAGUAGAAGAAGUGAUAUUGAUUGCUUACUCACAGUAGUGUAUGAAUACAAUGGUAUUGAACAAAGAAGAACUUUUUUGGGAAAAAACUUUGAGUGAGUAUAGCACUCCUUUAGAUGAUAGCUUGGGAUCUUAAUGCAUUGUUAUACUCCAAUGAUAGGCUAUCUGGAAACCCAGUAAACUACUCAUAAAUUCAAGACUUUGUUGCUUGCCUUCAUAGUACUACACUAACAAACUACCUUGGAAAGGUGAUUACUAUACAUGGUCUAACAAGCAACAUAGAUCCGAUAGGGUCAGCAAAAGGUUAGAUAGGGUGUUUGGAAAUUAUGAAUGGAUGAUGUCCUAAGGUCAUGUAGAAACAAGCUACAGAUUGCCUAAAAAAAUCUUAUCAUGCUCCUAUGCUCCUAAUUUUGACAUAAAGGUAGAGUGUCUUUCAGAUUCUUUAACAUAUGGGCAAAACAUUAUGACUUAUCUCAAAUAGUUACUAGCAUAUGGAAUUCACAUAGUUCACAAGGUAGUUUGAAAUAAGCUUGGGAAAGCUUGAAAAAUAUGAAACCUGCUUUGAAAGCUCAAAAAUCUAAGGAAUUUAGGGGUAUAACUCAGAAAAUUGAGAAUGAUAUACUUGAGUUGAGUAACAUACAAGAAAUAAUUUCACAAGGUUGCACUGAUACUUUACUUGAUACGGAGAAAGAAGGUUUGCUGAACCUUGAGAAAUGGUUUUUACUUGAAGAAAGUGUCCUUCAAUAGAAAGCUAGAUCAAAGUGGAUAAAAUUAGGGGAUUCAAACUCUAAGUACUUCAUAGUAGUGAUGAAUCAUAAAUCUCAAAAGAAAGAAAUCACAGAAAUUAUAACUUUGCUAGGAGAUAAGUUGAUUGAUCCUAAUGCUAUCAAAAGAGCUAUUGUUUACUACUACAAAAGAUUAAUGGGAAUUGAUCACUCCCAACUCUAGUCCUAAAAAGGAUAAGCAGUUGCUACAAAUAUAAUCCAGUCUAAAAUUCCGGAGUCGAAUCACACUGAGAACUAAGGCUUAGUUGUAUCUGUUUAAUAUCAUUAAAAAUACAAGAUUGAACAAUUUUCUAAAUUAUAAAGGUUUGAGAUGUAUAUUUUUAACUAAUUAAUUAGCAAACACUAGAAAAUGGUAAAAUUAUCAACUAACUAGACUAAGGGUUGGAGACUAAAUUAAGGAGGUCUAGAGUUAUGAUUUCCCCAAAGUUUGGAACCGUUCAUGCUUGUCUUAUAUACUUUUGCCUAAAUAUUCUCUACCGAUCGUGAGUACUUUGGUUUUCGUAAUUCUCUAUCGAGAAACUACCACAAUUUACUAUAAGUAUUCUCUCGAACUACACGAGCUGACACUAAUUCACCACUCACUACGAUCGUACCAAGGCUUCGCUAUCUCUAGUCCCGCCCUUAAACCCUUUGUAUUGAUUUCUCUUAUAAGUUAGGAGUGAUGUUGUUCAACAACUAUAUAAAUAUGUACUCUCUCUCUCUCUCAAGAAGUACACACUAAAUAGGCACAGUCAAUUAAUGGCCAUUCAAUCAACAACAACAAACGCGUAGUUGAACAAAUAGAUAAAUUCAACGGCUAAAUUAUAUUAAAACAUAACAAUAGUUCAUCCUACAAAAGGUUCUAUCAAAACUCUAGAUAAGAAAUUAACUAUUCAUAAAAGUAUAUGAAAACACAAUACUCAAAUUCAUAACCAAUAAUAAAAAUAGGAAGAAGAAGGGGAAAAACUCGUAGUUGAAUCUUCCUCCUUCCUCCUAGCAUGUUCUUGCCUCCAAGGGCGAUGUAUAAUCCUAAAGUAGUGUCUCAUCCCCUCAAAGUGAUGUUUUAGGAUGUAUUUAUAUGACCUAGGGUUAAUGAGGGGGCGGAAUUCUUCAAUCCAACUUCGGAUGGGAGAGCAGGAAUCCGUGUCUGCCUUCGCAUCUAAACGUGGACUUUGACGUGGAUCCGUGUUUGCCUUCGCAUCAAGACGCGGACUUUGACGCGGAUCCAGCUUUUGAGAUUCUUCCAUUUUGCAGAGCGCUCCGUGUCUUUGCUUCGCUUUGCUAUUUUGUGCCUUAACUUUUCUCUUUUUUCGCCUCCGACUUCGUGCCACGCACGAGAAUAGACGAGAUCCCACUCCUUCAAUUUCUUCUUUUUUUGUGUUGAAUUGUCAUCUUUUAAUCAUUUAUCAUCCAAAUUCGUUCCUACACAUAAAAAAUACAUAAUGAGUAUAUUUCACUUCGAAAAUCAUGUAAUCUCUCGCGACAUACACAAGAAUUAAUAUGCAAAUAUACUCAAAAAUAUGCACUUUUCAUCAUUUAUCAACAUCCCGCACUUAAACUCUUGCUCGUCCUCGAGCAACUUAAAUUAAGCGCAUAGGCAAAUAACUCCUUUCAAAGCAUACUCAAGCAUCACACCAAUGACAGUGGUUUAUAUCAAGACUUAGAACUCGACAUAAGGACUCUUCCUACUCUCUUUAUUUUUAUACCAAUGCCAAGACUAUUUAAAAUAUUUGUGUGAUUCUUUUAGCAUCCUAACCUCAAAAAAUGACUCCACUACAUUCCUUUUUGUGACUCGCUUUUUGUGCAAACUAAAAAUACGAGUUCCUUACCAAUCUGUUGUAAAGCAUGUGCCCUCUCCAUCAAAACAAGUAGAGUAAUCAGUCCACAUACUCAAUUAUGAAUUCAAAAGGACUCAAAGAAUUAAAGAAUUCACUCACUCUCACAAAGAAAUUCAUGUGCCCCCAAAGCUCGUACCAUAGGCUUGCCUGUAAUGUAAGUCCCUACUAAUUUAAGCUCGCAAAGUCUAGGAUCAAUUAGGUCUUCAUGGGUUGUAAUGUAGGAUAUGGGACAGGUAGGAUAGAUAUGGACAGUAGUGACUAACCCUCCUAAGCACUUUUAAUACAAUACACAUUAACCUUUAAGCACAUUCUCUUCAUGAUCACUCAACAUAUUGCUAUGAAACCGUAAAUAACGUAGCCCAUUUACUUUAAGCACAUCUACGUAAGUACUAGCACAUAUCAAAGUGAAUUGGAGGAAUUUUUUUCCUUUUUUUACAAAACGCAUUUCAACACCCUCCAUAAAUUAGUAUUUCCAUCUAGUUGGUCUCUCAAUAUACACAUGCACCUUUUGGCCUUUCUAUGGUUCCACUCAAAAACUACCAAAUCUCUUUUCUUUCACUUCUAGUGACUUAAGUGCUUUCGGAGGUAAAGGUUCAACAAGAUUUCAUUAAGAACAAAAAGGAUUCGUCUUGUAAUGUGGGUACCAAAAAAAACUUUACAGACUCAAAUGGGCUAACAAAGGAUAAUAUUUUAUCACUAUUAGGCAAAUAGACUGAAGGAUCAAUCAAAGAAAUGCCUAUAUCAUUUUCUAAACUUACAAAACUUUAUUUCGCUUCGACUCACAUACGGGGCAAGUUCCAGACUAACAAGGGAUGGCACAGAAUACAACAAAAAUCUCACCUUACACAAUGCACAUGACGUACUCAGAACGGUUCAGACCCCACUCUCAAGUUAAAGCAACUAGCACAGUCAGGAAAUAAUCCAAACACUAGAAAGUAGCAACAUGAGCCAAUAGACGAACCCAAACGUCAAAAUAAAUACAUAUAUUCUCAAAGCAUGUAGUCACAAGAAUAAAUAAUAAAAUACUAAGUGCAAAUGCUCCAGUUCUAAGUCCCAACAUAAAACAUGUCAAAAAGCAUAGAUACUCAAGUUCUGUCCAUUCCAUUAUCAAGUGAAAAAAAUCUUUUUGUAUUUUUGUUUAGAUUUUAUACCCUCAAGAAAACUGUCUAGGAAGUCCAUCGUUGGGAAAAGUACAAAACUUUUUGAAAAUUCUACUUGAAAAAAAAAUUACUACCCGGUUCAAAUGUCAUCCCUUGGAAAAGAACCGUGGCAAUAAGAAAAAUCAAGAGGGAUUAUUUCUACAUAAGUUUCUUUUUUUUCCUUCUUUUUUUCUAACGCGCAUAAAAUAAUAUAACUAACAUAGAAAACUACCCAAACAGUCUCUUCACCGCACUUAAAAUUAUGCAUUAUCCACAAUGCACACCACAAAUAACAAGAGGGCGACAGAAACUCCCUGGUUGACCAAAGGUCAAAGCAUCAACAACUCAUGGGAUACUCAAACUUCUUCCAGACUUGGUCCUUCGUGCGUUACCUCACACUUAAUUCCAACCAUCUGAUUUCUGUUGCAUCCUUCCAAUAGCUUUAUUUUUCAUGUUCCUAAAAAAUCAAAAAUUGACACUACAAAAAUAAUACAAUCAUAAAAAUAAAAGAAAUGAAAUAUAUGAGUAAAGUUGAGUUGCCUCUCAAAAAGCAUUGAAUUUAACACCGCGGCACGAUGCGAAUCACUUUUUGUCUCCACCUCGAGCUUAUAAAUUGAACCCCAAGUUUUGCUUCAAGCUUAUGAUUAUGCUCUUGGGGCGGUACACAUUCUUGCGAGCCAAAAAUUAGAUAAAGUCUUAUGCACAUUUUGGCUCUCGACCGAGGAGUGUCACUUUUCCUAGGCAGCCUUGAGAAUUUCAAAAUAUAAGGCUCAUCUACCUCUUCCUUGGACUCAUUUUUAUGCUCAUAAGAAUCCAUUCCCUUUUCACCAUCUGAACAUAAUGUAGAAAAGUGCUUGGAAUGAGGUCUAACGCGCUCAAAUACAUGAAAUUCAUGAUUUUUGACCUCCUCAACACCAAUCACACUAGAGUCAUUUGUACCUUCAAUGUCCUUGGUAACUCUAGUGUUACUUCUUGAACAUCGGCAUACUCAAAUUCUAGAUGGAUAUAUUUUUGGCGUUCUACUCUGACCUCCUCCAUUAGCACCUCAAUUUUAUUGUCUCAUUCAUACUCUUCUUGACUACUAUUCCCAAUAUUGUCUUGUUGAGCAUUAAAUUCUUCAACUAGUUGACUCACUUGUGCAUCCAGGUUGCGAAUAGUAGCAUCUUGCCUUUGCAUGUGCAUAUGUCUUUCAUCAUUUUGUUCCACAAGGUACUUUAGCAUAUCUUUGGUCUCUUUUAGGUUAUUAUCCCCGGGUUCUUUGUUCCUAUUAACUUCACAAGAAAAAGUAGAACCAUCAAAGUAAGGGAUUGGGGAAAGAUAAGAAUAUAAGCACAACCAUGAAAGUGACCAUCUCGACCACCACACAUAUCAUAUAUAUUCCACACAUAAUAUUGAGUUGGUGCACAUAACUCGCUCUCAGGAAUAUUUAGACUAUUUUGACCCAAGUGGUUUCUGCCACGAUUCACACAAGAAAGAUCAAUAGUAGAGUUACCAACAUCGAAAUUCUCAUAAUUCCAGGAUGCCAUGUUUCUCAAAUUAACAAGUAAAACAAAAAUUUAAAAAUCAAAUAUAAAAAAUAAAAAUAAAAAAAAGUUCAAACUUGAAACCUAGCAAUAUGUAUAUCUAUAGCUAACCCCGGCAAUGACGCCAAAAUUUUGUCACGCCCAACACUAGUCCUAAAAAGGAUAAGUGGUCGUUGCAAAUAUAAUCUCGUCUAAAAGUCUGGAGUCGAAUCGCACAGAGAACUAAGGCUUAGCUGUAUCUCUUUAAUAUCACUAAGAAGACAAGAUUGAACAAUUUUCUAAAUUAUAAAGAUUGAGAUUUAUAUUUCUAACUAAUUAACUAACCAGUACUAGAAAAUGGUAAAAUUAUCAACUAACUAGACUAAAGGUUGGAGAAUAAAUUAAGGAGGUCUAGAGUUAUGAUUUUCCCAAAGUUUGGAUUCAUUCAUGCUUGUCUUAUAUACUUUCGCCUAAGUAUUCUCUAACGAUCGUGGGUAUUCUCUCUUGAGCAACUACCACAGUUUACUAGAUGUAUUCUCUCAACCACACAAGCUGACACUAAUUCACCGCCCACUACGAUCGCACCAAGGCUUCGUUAUCUCUAAUCUCGCAUUUAAACCCUUCAUAUUGAUCUCUCAUAUACGUUAGGACUGAUGUUGUUUAACAACUACCUAAAUAUAUACUCUCUCUUGAACAGUGUACACUAAAUAGGCACAGUCAAUUGAUGGUCAUUCAAUCAACAGCAACAAACACGUAAUUGAACAAAUAGAUAAAUUCAAAGGCUAAAUUAUAUGAAAACAUGAAAAUAAUUCAUCCUAAAAAAGGUUAUAUCAAAAUUGUAGAUAACAAAUUAGCUAUUCAUAAAAGUAUAUGAAAACACAAUAUUCAAAUUCAUAACCAACAAUAAAAAUAGGAAGAAGAAAGGGAAAAACUCGUAGUUGAAUCUUUCUCCUUGCUCCUAGCGUGUUCUUGCCUCCAAGGGUGUUUUAUAAUCCUAAAGUAGUGUCUCCUCCCCUAAAAGUGGUGUUUUAGGAUGAAUUUAUAUGAUCGAGGGUUAAUGAGGGGCGGAAUUCUUCAAUCCAACUUCAGAUGGGAGAGGUGGAAUUCGCGUCCGCCUUCGCGUCUAAGUGCGAACUUUGACGCAGAUCCAUAUUUGCCUUCGCAUCUAGUCGCAAACUUUGACGCGGAUCCAACUUUUGAGAUUCUUCCAUUUUGCGAAUCGCUCCAUGCCUUUUGCUUCGUUUUGAUGUUCUGUGCCUUAAGUUUUCUCCUUUUUCGCGUCCGACUUCGUGACACGCAAGAGAAUAGACGAGCUCCCACUCUUUUAAUUUCUUCUUUUUUUGUGUUGAAUUAUCGUCUUUUGAUCAUUUAUUAUCCAAACAUGUUCCUACACAUAAGAAACACAUAAUGAGUAUAUUUCACUUCGAAAAUCAUGUAAUCUCCUGCGAAACACAGUAGAACUAAUAUGCAAUUUUCAUCAUUUAUCAGGAACAACUGCAACUACUUUGUCUUCCAUCAAUAGAACAUACAUGAAGCAUAGGUCUAUACUAACUCACCAACAUAUGGUGGAUCUAUGUGCAGAAGUAACCAACCAAGAGAUUUUUGAGAGCCAUGAAGCAAUUGGUGAUGGUGAAGCUCCACGCAUUAAUGGCUUUAAUGCAGUUUUCUCCCAGAAAGAAUGGGACUUAUCAAUACAUAGAUCAUAUAUGCUGUGAAAAUGUUCUUUACAACUGGGAAGCUCUAUAAGUCCAUCAACUACACUACUGUUACAUUGGUACCUAAAGUGAACAAACCUACCACAGUCAAAGAGUACAAAUCAAUAGCUUGUUGUUCAAUCCUUUACAAGAUGAUCUCUAAAAUCUUGGCCUACAGAUUACAUAAUAUCAUGCCUUACAUCAUUUGCAAGUCUCAAGAAGGCUUCAUUCCUGGUAGAAAUAUUGCUAAUAAUGUCAUUUUAGCUUAUAAGGUAGUCAAAUCCUAAAUAAGAGCUCAUAUAUCUCCUACAUACAUGAUAAAGAUUAAUCUUCAAAAAGAUUAUGACUCAGUGGAAUGGAUUUUCUUGCAGCAGGUUAUGGAGGAGCUUAGAUUCCCUGACAGGUUUAUCAGAUGGAUCAUGGAAUGUAAUAAGACUGUCAACUAUACUAUUCUUGUUAAUAAGGAAACCACAGAACCAUUAAAUGCUUCCAAAGACCUUCGACAAGGGGAUCUUAUUUCCCCUUUUAUCUUUGCUAUAGUGAUGGAAUACCUGAGUAGAACACUGCAUGGGUUGAAGAAGGAAUCUGAACUCCAAUAUUAUCCCAGACGUAGUAUUUUUGGUAUCACUCAUAUGAGUUUUGCUGAUGACCUCCUUUUAUUUACUAAGUUCAACCUCUCUUAUGUGGCUACACUACACAAAUGAUUUACCCCAUUCUCUCAGGCAUCAUGCUUACAGGAUAAUCAAGGCAAAAGUUUACUGUAUUUGGUGGUGUAAAGCAAGCUGUGAAGGACCAGAUACUGUCACACCUGGAAUUUGCAAGUGGUUCUCUACCUUUCAAGUACCUAGGAGUCCAUUUGUCUGCAAAGAAAAUAGCUCUCAUACAGUGACAACCAUUGAUUGAAAAGAUCACAGUUAAGAUUUCCUCUUGUGCUGCUAAGAAGUUGUCUUAUGCUGGUCGUGUGCAGCUGGUCCAGUCCUUAAUCUUUGGUACGCAAGUAUACAGGGGUCAACUGUUUAUGCUAAGGUAUUGAAAAUAAUAGUGGCAUUAUAUAGAAGUUACAUUUGGGCUGGAACUAACACAAUAACCAAUAAGUCCUUAGUAGCAUGGGAAAAGAUCUGUACUCGCACGUUAGCUAGUGAACUUAACCUCAUCAACCUACCUCUGUGGAACAAAGACGAUAUUGCAAAAUCUUGUUGGGAGUAAGCUCAUAAACAGGACAAACUAUGGAUAAUGUAGAUCAAUGCAUAUUAUAUCAAACAUCAACAACUACAAUAAAUGCCUAUACCUCAGCAAGCCAGUUAGAUGGUGAUACAAAUAAUAGGAGCCAGAACAACAUUGUUGUAUACACAAAUUAUAUAUGAGGACAGGAAAAAUAUUAUUAGACAAAUAUACUUGCAGCUCCUAGGUGAAUUACCAAGAGUAAAUUAAAAAUGUCUAAUUUCUGCUAGGCCAAAGGCAGUCUUCUCUAUGUGGUUGUUACUACAUGGAAGAUUACAAACUAAAGAUAAACAAGCCAGCUCCAGAAUAAUUGUUACCCCUUAAUGUGUUAUGUGUCAAGAUCAUAAUGAAUCAAGGAAGCAUCUGUUUGUCACGUGCCCAUACAUUGUUGAACUGUGGAAGAAAUGAAAGUGAUGUCUUGGGUCCAAAUAUCACAUAUGCCUGCCAUUUUCUGGGAUCAACAUCUUCAGUUGAUCAUCAAUCAAAGAAAAGGGAAGUCAUAGAAGGCUAACAUCUUCAAAAUGAUCUAUGCUGAGGUUUCACGUUUAAUAUGGAUAAAGAGAAACACGUGUAUAUUUGAAAAAAAAUAUCGAAGGAAUGAUGUCCUGGUGCGCGAGAUAGCAUACAUAUGCGAUGCUAGAGUAUGUAGCUGCUCGAGAAGCUACAACAGUUUUGGCUAGGAACGUAAUAGUUGAAUAGUUGUUUUGUAUAUAGGUAUGGUUUGCUUUUGUUUUUCAUUUUGAGAUAGCUAGCUGAGUUAGUAUGACUAUGCCUUUGUACAUAUCUCCUUUGGUGAUUAAUACAAAAGAAAAUUAAUUACUUUAAAAAAAAUGUAAAACGGAGAAAAAAAAACGAUAGAUAAGUUAGCAUGGAGAGUCAACUGUAUCU
rnacentral:lncRNA from 1 species